UGUAUUUCCCUUUUCAACCAAGAGACCGGUUGGAUGACCAGUCUGUACUACUUUCACCCCCUUUCCUUCCUGUUUGUACCAAGUCCGAUGUACAUACUAAAUUCCCCCACCCCCACUUUAUUUCUUGUUUGAACCAAGUAGUACAAGAUUCGACUCCAUGAAGUAGCUUUACCUCUAACAAUAGAAGAAAAAAAUAUGUGACGUUGGACCAUCCGAUCAAGAGGGGCUGAGAGGUAGAAAAUGAUGCACAUGCAGCGACGUAGCAAGCUGGGGAAGUAGAGCUAAGGCGGUUUCGAAUGAAGAUAUACUUGAAGUUCGUAGGGAUGUGGAUAGGUGGGCGGCGGGAGGCCGGAUCCGCCCACAGGCAACGAUGAAGGGAUCGGAGGACCUCCCACGCCGGCGCUCGGCCAAAGAUAACGGUGGGGCCGGCAGUGGGUCUCCUCCCUCGCUGUUGACGAUGGCCUAAACGCUGCCCCUCCUCCCCUUCACCAGCAGAGGGGGAUACGUCCGGAUCUGUAACCAGCGGUGAGGAUAGAAAGCCAGUGUUUUUUGAAGGGAGAAAGAUAGUGUUACUACCCCUAUCUUGUUUAGAUCUGGAGAGGAUGAGAGUGUGUGAAUAGAGAAACCCUAGCAAGCAAGCGCGGAGGCUCCGGCCUAUAUAUACGUAGUGAGCAACCCUAGCAAGCAAGCAACCCCUAUCUUCAUCAACUCGUACAAGACCGAGAAAUUUGAUUACUACAACACCCUCUCCCUCGCGGACUGAGCUCCGGUGCCUUAAUUGCACCUGCCUUUGGCUGCAUGAUAGGAGGGCCAACCACCUGUUGGGCCCACCUGUCAUAGACGCAAAGGCAGGAGUAGUAAGUAGAAGCUUUCACUACACGCUAUCCCUCCCGCACGAGGUGGACAGACAUGCAACAGUGGAUUCGAUACUGUAGAAGUAGGAGUAACAUCAUUGUUCGUCUUCUCGAAGAGGCGAAGAGCCAAGCGCAACCCGAACGUGGCAGUUCCAAACGCUCGCGUGGUGCGGUUCCUUGGAGUACUAUCCAGGCUCUUGCAUGAGACAAAAUCACUAUUGUUUAACAAUUAAAUUCCAUUAUCCAUUGGUUGAUACUCAUUCUACAUAGGUCCACGCGCUUAGCACCGUUUCCUCCUGGGGUCACCAAUGUUUAUUUGCUAAUUAAUAGCAUUGCAUGCAAUGAACUAGCCAUUGCAAGUCAUUAAAAGCAUGCACACCUCUCAUCUCUUAUUGGUUGAUAUGUCAAGAAACAAGAAACAAGGUAGAAGUUAAUGCACCGCGCCUAAGUGUUUUGGGACUACGUAUUUGGUUUUCAUAAGAUGACUUACACACCUAGACGAAGGGAGUAGUAUAGCCCUGUAAACCGGAAAGGAGUAUUUGCCUUUCUAGAGAUUUCAACAAGUGACUAGACUACACCGUGUGCAGUACUCCCUCCCUUCCGGUUUAUAGGGCUCAAAUCUCAAAUUUCAUGAACCAAGGAAUUUUGCGAUUGGAGAAAUGUAUCUCGUACUUUACAAAACUACCCUAAUUAAACUCAUGCAUUAAUUACGUAGUUCUCUCGUUUUCCUCUCCGCCUUGGUCGCGGUGCACAAUAUUGAGCACUCCUACUCCCUCCUUUCCAGUUUAUAGGGCUUAUCUCAAAAUCUUAGUUUUUUCAUUUUAUAAGGCUCAAUUUGGUUGUUCCCCAUCACAAGUUCAGAUUCCAAGGUGCAUUAAAUAAUUGCAUGCAGGUAUUAAGAGAAAAUUGACCAAUGCAUGUACUUUAUGCAUGCAUGCAUUGCAAUUAAUACAUUGGUAAACAUACAUUUUUGAAGAAAACAAGAGCAUUAAUUGGGUGCUUUUGCAAAUUACAAAAAGGAUUCCACCACUCACCAUCUACCUUGGUUGGUGAAAUUUNNNNNNNNNNUUAAUACAUUGGUAAACAUACAUUUUUGAAGAAAACAAGAGCAUUAAUUGGGUGCUUUUGCAAAUUACAAAAAAAUAUGUGAUGGGAAAAAAUAUGUUUACCAAUGCAUUAAUUGCAAUGCAUGCAUGCAUAAAUUGCAUGCAUUGGUCAAUUUUCUCUUAAUACUUGCAUGCAAUGAUUUAGUUUACCUUGGAAUAUGAACAUGUGAUGGGAAACAACAAAAUUGAGCCUUAUAAAAUGGAAAAACUAAUAUUUUGAGAUAAGCCUAUAAACCGAAAAGGAGGGAGUAUAUGACUAGCAGCUCUAUCUACAUGCGGGACAUUUCAAAGCAUCUGGGCCCACGUGCCAUCCACCAAAUCACAACGAGGUGCUACAGUCGAGACUCACCUAUCACCCCGGUGUGGCCGUCAUGACCCGUCAUAUCACAAAACGCACACCUUUACCAGCAGUGGUAAGGUGGCCUCCAAGUUGGACUGGACGAGGCAACCAUCAUUUCACUGGAACGCUCGUUCAAGCCCUUUCUUCCCUUUCUUGAAGAAAACCUCACUCCAGGCUACUCACUUCUGCCAUUUUUCUUCUGUACCAACGAAGUAAAGGUGGGCGAAACAGUUAUGCUACUAUAUUUUCAUUCCAAGAAUCUUCUUUUUGCGAAGCACCGACCGAUUCUCAAAUCCUAUUCUUUUCGUGUUUUCAUUGCGAUUGUGGUUUCCUAUCGAUUGAUUUUUGUUUGUCAGUUCAUUGAUGGAUCCUGGAGCACAAGGCAAAGAGUUGCCGGCGGACAACCCACUGGAGACAGCGAUCUCCAGGAAGCGAGCACCGACCAACGAGUUGACCAUGUUGGCGGGCCAACCCAUGGAGACGAAGAACUCCAAGAAACAAGCACUGUCCCAAGAGUUGAGGACGUUGGCGGACGAACUGCUCAAAGAAAGUUGGAAGAACAACAAUGGCCCCACCGUGCCUACCCCAGGAACUCUCAUUGCCACCUAUGUGAGGCUCAACACCGAGUUUGAGGAGAUAGUCGCCGUUGAGAAGCAGUAUUCCCCUGGCAAGGUGAUGGCCCCCAUCGAGGACAAGGAGAUGGCCCCCGGAGGGAUGAGAUCCCCCGGUGAGCUGCACAAGGUAAAAAAUAAUGGCUUAUUACCAUAGUUGUGGUUUUUGAUUAUUUGCAAUGUGCUUGCUAAUAUGUUAGGGUUGUGCAGGUGCCGGUGGACGUCCUUGAUGAUUCCGAUGUCGUGGCCCGUCCUGUUGGCAUCGCCCCGGAGAUCGAUUCCGAUGACGCUGUCCAUCCUGUGGACAUCGCCCCAGAGAUCGAUUCCGAUGUCGCGGUCAGUCCUGCGGACAUCGCCCCAGAAAUCGAUUCCCAUGCCGCUGUCCGUGCUGUGGUCAUUGCCCGAGAGAUUGAUGACAAGAAAUAGUUGGUCGUGCUAAUCCUUCAGGGUAGUUUGCAUUGCCCUGUGUUUAAUUACCAGAACAAUGCGUGUUAUCAAACCAUCUUAGGGCUAGUGCACUGUCUUGUGUGGGCGGAUCUUCCUACUUUUGUUUGAUAGUUUAUCAUGCGAACCCUCUCCGAGUUAUGGAAACAUAUGUAUCCUCACCAGCUUUUGAUGUAAUAUAUGGCAUGAUUAGAUGUAAGUUUGAACUGUUUAUCAUAUUAGCAGGGCUUAUUUGAUGAUUCUUGGUGUUAGUAGGCUAGCUACUGUGCGAGCUAUAGUACUUGCAAAACACUCACCGAAGAGAAACGUUGGGGCUAAUGAGCUCGUGGUACGCUUAUACUUAUCCCUCAUCGAUCGACCAAUAGCCCUAGCUCCUAAAAUUGUAGGCUUAGCGAUCGAUGACCUAGGUGGGCUAGUUCGGCCUAGUGGGUUUUAGUGAUAUGACGUGCAACACAAAAUCAUAGCAGUGCAGAGACGUACUCCCUCCGUUCCAAAAUAGAUGACCUAGGCGGGCUAGUUUGGCCUAGUGGGUUUCAGUGAUAUGACGUGGUACAGUGCCGUCCAGUCUUCGGGUGUGGUAGCAGUAUUGCGGGUACAGUAAGUUUUCUUGAAGAAGCGGAAUUCAACGAAGUCAUGAUGGUUCCUUCGUCCGAACAACUUACAGUGGGAAAGGUUGGGCCUGCGAUACGACCGGGGUAGACCGGGAUAAUUUUGUGCAUGGCAGGUGGACUAGGAUGGUCGACGUCCCACAUGUCGGCGAAUGAAAGUAUUCUUUCCGAUAUAGAGGACGAGCAACGAGUAUUCAUUGUUUAUUUUUGAUGAAAGCUAUUGUCUCCACUGUUACGACGGAGGAGUGUGAAACACGGCAGCCCAGUGAACUUGGCAUGUGCACCACUCCCUCCUUCCUCAUGUAAUGCCCAGGUUACAGCUUUUUCUCACUUUCUCUCUAUCUAUUUCCUCUCAAAUGUUUUUUACCUUUAUUUUUUUAAGACAGAAUUGUUUUUAUGCCUUUUUUAGAAUUAUUUUUUAUACCUAGGAGCACAUGUAGAGACGGGCUUUUGCAGAGCCCACUCCUUGACUUUGUCAAUGCCUCUCUCUCCUCCACAUAAGGAGUACUACUUGCUAUGCAUGCAUGCGGCGGGCAGCUGGCGUCUUGAGGGGCCAGGGCGGUGAGAUCGAGCUCCGGAAGUGGUCCGGACUCUAGCAUAAUUUUGGUUUUUAUAGUAUUUCUUUCUCCAUUGAUAGGUAGGCCUGCAUAGAUAGAUAAAGAACACGAGCUGAUGAGGCGCAUGCGGACUGUUUGACUGGUCAACCAGACAAAUACGGAGCUAUACGCUGAGCCAGUGACCAUAUAAUCACCAUAUCUCAUAUACAAUGAUCAAAGUGAGCUACCAAGACAAGGUCGAUGACCGCCAAUGCAUUUUACUCGGUAAUAAAUGACCAGGAUUGAAGGGGAAUCCAAAUUUGCUUCAUCUUCUGUCCUUGAGCUCUUGACAAACCAAUGCACUAUACGGUUGUCCGGCCACUCCACCCCAGAGCUCUCACCAAGCGUCGUUCAUGCCACCGCGCUGCACACUAACCGGUAAGGCAGCGAUGGCAUCCCGCCGCGCCGAGUUCCUCGCCGCCCACGACCGCACACAAAAUGGUAGGGAAGCGAUAGCAUCCCGCCAUGCCAAGUUCAUCGCUGCUCGCGACCUCACAACUAUGUGGGAGCAAUUUGAAGAUGGCAAGGCCGAAUGGGCGGUAGAGCAAGAGGCGGCCAAAGCCGCACAAAGAGAGCGGAAAAGUCAGAAAACACUCAAGAAAAGAGAGGCCCGCCGCCGCAAGAAAGAAAAGGACGCACGCACUGCUGCGGAGAGGUCGGCGGAGAUCCAAGCACGGUGGGGUGUCUCCGACAAAGCCGGGAAGGAGAACGACGGCGUCUGGACAGCAUGUGAGAAGUAGUAGUACUAGUAGUUAGUGUGUGUGUGUGUGUCUGAGUACGAGCAUGUACCAGUACUACUAGUUACUACUGUAGUUUUUAGAGCAAAUUACCAGUACAUUGGCCUAGACUAAAUGGAAAAAUUCCUAUCCUAAGCAUCAAAUGACAUCUCUUUCUCUAUAGGAAUUGAGAUGCAUGUCAUCUCACUUCCUAUGAUUUUCAUAUUCCUAUCCUAUGAACGAAAGGAGGCCUCUGUUGUAGUAACUACUGUAGCUAGCAGUACUGCUGGUACAGUAGUUUUCUUCAAGAAGUGGAAUUCAACGAAGUCAUGAUGGUUCCUUCGUCCAAGCAACUUCAAAGUGGGAAGUGGGCCUGUGAUUUGACGGCUCAUUAGUCAUUGUUACUGCGGCGCGAUGAUCUGGGUGACUCCCUUGGAGUUCUGCGUGCAUGGCAAGUGGACCAGGAUGGUCGACGUCCCACAUGUUGGCGAACGGAGUAGUAUUCUUUCCGAUAUCGAGGUAUAGUAUCACUGCUGAUUGGUUCGCAAAAAAAUAGUAUCAUUGCUGAUUUAUAAUUAUUUUUUAUUUCUGAUGAAUGUUAGCGUUUCAACUCUUACGACGAAGGGUGCCAAACACGGCACGUGCUAGAUGUCCCAAACAUCAGCAAAAGGAGUGGGACAUGAACAGCGUGGUAGAGCCCAGCGUAAAAAAACAGCGUGGUAGAGCGUCUCCACUUCUUCCACUUCUGGGUCGGAGACACACGUAGUAGUACUUAGUGGUAUGAACGAUACAAAGUGCGACCUGGAGACAAAGACAUGUUUUCUGCAAAAAAAAUGGAGACAAAGACACGUCUAGUUGGAAGGUCUUGGGGCAUACACGUAAACAAAUAUAGAAUUUAAUAUGUGCCUCCAACUAAUAUAGUAGUAGUAGAGUACUUAGCCACGUAAUACUCCAUAACAUCACCGUGCAUUGCACGUACAACAUUUAGUGGUAGUACGUAGUAAGAGACAAAUGCCGCCCAAGAGUUCCCUUCUCGACCUACUUUUGGGUGUUUGGUAGAGUGUAUGGAGGGUGCAUCAGUCCACACUAGUUUAGCACAAAUACACUAGAAGCAUGCAUGAACAGAGCAUGCAUGAAGAGGGGUGUUGAGUUGAGCAUGCCUAAAGAGGGAACAACUAUGCUGAGACGAGAAUGCAACCAAACACACCCUAUAUGCCACGCAUGUUCAUAUGAUUUGUGCCUUUCUACUUCACUUACUGCGCUACAUUACUCAGGUUCGUACGUCCACUCCUGGGUACAUGUUCGUCUCGUAGUUCCAGUCCCACGUGUUCUUCAUAUAGAUGGAACAAUCCUUUCAUAACACGUGCACCUUGAUGCUAGUAGAUGUCUCACGUGUUGGCAAAAGGAUGAACAAAGCUCACGUAAAAAAUAGAGUGGAAGAACAUAGAUUCCGGACGACCGAGAAGGAGCAAGGAACCUCGUGGUGGAGCGUCUGCACUCAUAAUAUUUAAUAUUAUUCAGCGAUAUAAAAUUAACCAAUCAUCUCCACAGUGGACUGGAAGAGUAUGAAACACGGUAGCCAAGUGUAGUUACAUCAUACUAGUACAUGGCUAACCCACGCUAUCACCAUAUUUCUUGGCUUCCGUGCGACACCUAUCUCUAGUAAUCCAGCAGCCUGUAUCGCUUCUCCCUCCUCGUCUCUAUCAAAGUGCGGCGGGCUGGCGUUUCUGCCGUCUAUUGAGGUCGGUUAACUAUCACAUGUUAGCGACAUGCCAAGAGCAUUCUCAAAAAAAUCCCUUCAUGUUCCGUUUUCAAAAAGAAAAAAAUCCUUUCACGUACGAAUUUGCCUGUAUGCUUUGAGCAACUUGCAUGUCCUAUACUGCUCCUGUUUGAUACUCUAACUUAGCUAGAGGUUAGACUAACUCAUGAAUAACCCUGAACUAACUGUAGCCAAAGAGGUGUUUGGGUGACAGGGUUAGAUUGACAAUAAAUGCACUUCAUGGAGAGAGAAAAGUGAUUUUUCAGUGGUCCCAAUGAGAACUAUCUCCAGUUAGCACCACUUGGGUGGGAUAGUUUUUUUUGGUGGGUUCGGUGCAACUUUCUCCAAUUUAAACCCUCAUGCUUGGAUAGUUUAGGGCUAUUUGAGCACCAACUAACUCCAAUUUAAACCCUCAUGCUUGGAUAGUUUAGGGCUAUCCAAACAGGGCCUAUGGCCAGUCUCAACGCGGAACAGUCGCGUGCACCGGGAAGUGGCGCUCUCUCGGCCGUCGCGCCACUUCAAAGCCAGCACUAGUGAGAGGUCGCCUCCGCUCUGGCCGGGCAUUAAUGCGGCACUGAUGCUCCAGGGUGAUGCUGACCGUUUCACGUGGGAAGCGUGCGCUAGCAAGGGAGUAUAGGUUUUGAACCAUUUCAGGUAUAGUACUGGUAGUUUGCAAAACUACUCAAUUAUUGCACUUGGUUUCCUAGGAAAUUGUGGUAAAAAACGUUACUCCACAGCCCGCUUCCCUUCUCCUUCCUCUUCCACCGCCCGGGCACAUCCGCGGGAAGCGACCGGUCAACCCUUAUAUAGGAGUGCUAGCACAAAAAGAUGCAUGCAUGGCCACUAAAAUUUCCAUAUUAAAGCGCCGCUCCGGCGGGAGUAUGGCGUAUGUUGUUAUCUUCGGCCGGCCCAUGGCUACCGGGCGACGGCGACCAGAGAAGAGGCGGCAGGAGGGGAAUGAAUGCAGCUACUGUUUGGGUUCGCCUUCCGGCUUAAAUAAAUGCGCAGCAUCACGUGUACCCGCGGGUGCACAAAUUGUAACAUAUGUGUCUGCUUAAGUGGGCGUCACGUAACUGUUGUGUGUGUGAGAGAGAUUCUGAGAGACAGAGUGCGUGUGUGCGACUCUACUCUUCGGACAUGUACUCAACCUUUUGCAUCGGGAUAUAAGUAUAAUGGUAUUUACUUUAGCUAGUGAUUUACGUGGCCAUGUUAACGUGGUUGUGUCAAAAAAAUGUCACUUCCUGCUCAUGAUUUGCGUUAUAUAGUUACAAGCAAGAUUCUCGUGCAUUGCACGGAACAUCAAUAUGCAUUUUUUUACAGAACACCUGUUGUGAUUGACCCAUGCAGGAGUAAUCCCAUGUGUAAAAACUAAUGAUAUCUCGAGAAUUUUAUCGAAAAACUGGUAUCAUGAGAAUGUCAUCGAAAAAAUGAAAGAUGAGAGAUAAGGCGAGGAGGAGUGGAGCGUGGUGGUGACUGGUAGUCGAAAUGGGCGGAGGCAUGGGCAGCGGCCAGCAUGCAUGCUAGAUUGUUCCAGAGACUUAUUCCUUUUCUAAUUGUUGAGCAAUGAGGUUGCGGGAGAUAAUGAUGUGGAGAGAGGUGCGGGUCUCUUUUGUAAAAUUAUCAUAGUUUGCUUUCUAUCCUCAGAUAUAGAUCAUAUGGUCUGUAUUACAAGAUGGCAGGCACACCAUCACCACCAACUCGUUUUUAUAAGGGUACAGAUGAUAAGUUUGCUGACUACUAAAGUAAAGUGGAUUUUGUCCAUGUUAUGCAAGUAAAUAAAGCUGAUUGUUCAUCAUACGGGUAAGGUUGGAUGAAGGGUGGUAGGAACAAAUGCUCCGCCUAGAGCAUGUGUGUGUGAGAUGGAGUCUUAGUGUGUGUGUGUGGGGGUGUGUGUGUGUGAGAGAGAGAGAGAGAUGGAGUCUUAGUUUGUGUGUGUGUGAGAGAGGNNNNNNNNNNNNNNNNNNNNNNNNNNNNNNNNNNNNNNNNNNNNNNNNNNNNNNNNNNNNNNNNNNNNNNNNNNNNNNNNNNNNNNNNNNNNNNNNNNNNNNNNNNNNNNNNNNNNNNNNNNNNNNNNNNNNNNNNNNNNNNNNNNNNNNNNNNNNNNNNNNNNNNNNNNNNNNNNNNNCUUAGUGUGUGUGGGGGGGGGGGCGUGCGUGCUUGCGCGCGUGUGUGUGUGUGUGUUUGUGUGUAUGUGUGUGAGAGAGAGAGAUGGAGUCUUAGUGUGUGUGUGUUGGGGGGUGCGUGUGUGCAUGUGUGUCGCGGGGUCCUCUGUGGUGGAUGCAAUUUAAGUGUCGAUGGCUUUCAUCAUAGAGAGGUGAUGUGUAUGGCAGAGGCCACCAACGAUGGGGUGCGAGAGAGAAAAUGCCCGUAGAGAGGGAAGAGAAGGUGUGUGCGCGUGAGAGGAGUCGACUUCGAGAGAACGUGUUUGUUCGAGAGACACCAAGGAAGACUACUAUAUAUCGAUGGUGCAUGUAGGCGGGAAUUAAACUAAUGGAUGGUCUUAUUGGUUUCAGGGAUAUAUGGGAAGAGUGAGAGGCGGGGGGUAGCCAGAAGGAGAUUGUUAAGUGUAAGUGUGUGUUUUACCCAUCCAGGCGGAAGUUAUGUGCACAAAAGAGGAGAACGAUUCGAUGUGGCGUUAGGAUUGAGGGUAAUUAACUACGUAUGGAGACAUAGAGACCUUGAACAUGCAUGUGUGAGAGGUAUACAUGUAUACGUGGGAUGUGUGUGUGCGCGCAUGCAUGAUCAAGAUAAAAGAAAGAAGACAUAAGUCAUAAGAUCAACGACAUGGGAGAGACGGAUUGGUAUGACAAUAUGCAUGCAUGUGAGAAUGCAUGGAAGAAGUCCCGACAAUUGAGCAUGUGUUUUUACCUUUAAGAGAUAGUGGCGUGGGCUGGAGCAUGCAUCUAUGGCGAGCAGAGGGAGUGAGGCGCAACGAUUGUGCAAAAGAGACCAACCUAUAAAUGCAUAUGUAUGGAGAGACAUAUAUAGUGUGGGUGAUAGGAAGCAAGACUCCGUGCGAGAAAGAAAUGUUGACGGAGAAACUACAGAUAGAUACAGAGAUGGAGAUGCUAGCUAGAGGGACAUCUGCUAGUUUGGGUGUUGGAGAUGACCGUCAGGUGGUUCAAAGGGUGAAGUUAUAUAUGUGUGUGAGAGGGCACUUGACUACAUGUAGAGAGAAACAUAUGUAGUGUGCGUGAUAGGAAUCAAGAGUGAGGGCGAGAAAGAAGGUUGAUGGAGAAACAGAUAAAUAGAAAGAUAAAGAUGCUAGCUAGUGUGCGUUAGAGAUAGGAGUAUAGUGGAUUAGAAGGCUGGGUUAUGUGUGUGUCGGUGUGAGAGAGAUAGAGAGAGGGUGCGUGUGAGUCACAUACAAACAGAUAUCAGAGUGAAAUGAGAUCCAGAGAGACAGAGUUUUGUGUCUGCGAGAGAGAAAGAUAUUUCACAACGAGAGUGAUAGCUAGAGAGACAUAUGAGGGAACACAAGAUAUCUCUAGGGAGAGAGGGUGUGUGUGAGCGACAUACAAGAGAACAAUGGAGAAAUAUGAGACCCUGGGAGACAGAGUUUGUGUUUGUGUGUGAGAAAGAGAUAUUGAAGAGGAAGAGUCGUAGGUUCUCAUAUCUAAGGAGCGAAAGACAUCUCUGUAUGAGGAGUGUGCGAGUGGCACACAUGGGAAUAGUAGAGAGAAAUGAGACCCCAGGAGACAAAGUUUUGUGUUUGUGUGAGAGAAAGAGAUUCCACAUGGAGAAUAAUUGUUAGAGACACAUAGCAGGGAGCGAGAUAUACUUAGAGAGAGAUAGAGUGAUGAAGGUCGAGGGAGAGAGUACUGUCAUUGUGUUACGAAGAUAAAAUAUCAUUGUCGACAUACAAGUAGCACGAGAGAUACCUGAGAGACGAUGACUGCGUAUAGGUCCAGAGAGAUAGUCCUAUAUAAGCAUGAGUGAUAGCUAUAUGAGACGAAUAUCUGGAUUAAAGGGGAUUCAAAUAUUUAAACUGGAGAUCACGACAUCGAUAAUAUCAUAACGCAAAUUGGUGUAUCAAACAUGCAUAUUCAUUCGAAUUUGGGCACACGUGUAAUGUUAUAUAGUUUAUCAAUAUUGGUGAUCCAUAGAUUCUUCAAUUACAAACAAUGCAUGGUUUAUAUGAAAUUAAUGUUAAACGGGAUUACACUAUAUGUUGCGUGUGUGAAACACAUUAUACAUGUUUGAGAAGUAAAAAUAAACCGCAUGAAACACACAUUAAUUGGAGACAGUUAGCGAGGAAUGCAUACAUUGGAUUUCAACAUAAAGUGGUUUCAAAUAUUUGAAAAUCCAAAUUGAUAGAUACAACCUUAUGAAUCUGAGAUCAUGCCAUUUGUAAAUCAUAUUUAUGUAUAAAUGGUGUUGUGCUUUUGAAAGUAUAUAUAUAUAAAAUGAUGUAUAUAGAAUGUAAUUCCAAUUGAAAAUGGAUCCCGCCCGAAAAAAAUAGAAUACAAACGGGGAUUCGAAUUGAGUUGGCACGGUAAACAUGCACUCUACAAAAUUUGAACGAAGUGGGGAAAGUCGCAGUAACCGCCCGAAACCAAAAUCUGCGAGAUGGAAAUCACUACUGCCUAUCCCUGCCAUGCAAAGCCUAUAUGCUGGAUUUCUAUAGGUUUCGAUAGGGGUAGGUUUGUAAUUUCACCCAAACGUGACAUAACCGCCUCUCACCCGGAUUCAUACAUGGUGGGCGCCAAAACACAGUGUUUCCUCGGCCGAAAUCGACUCCCUCCCUGAUUCAUAUUCAUACACGGUGGGCGCCAAAAACAAACUCUCGUCGGCAAAUAUUUGGUGUAUGCGAGAUUACCGUCCUAUCCCCAACCGACUAGUGUUGCUAUGAUGUAGUAUAAAUUUGAAACGGGGGCUAAGUUUGUAAAUUUCCUCGCAUUUGAGACAAGCGUGCCCUGAAUACAUGGUUCCCCCAUUCGUACUCCGUGGGCGCCAAAACACCCUCUCCACCCCACCCUCCUCCCUCCGCCGCCGUCCGCCACCCCAUCCACCGCCGUCCUCCUCCACCAUGCCGGAGCUGAUACCCUAACGCCGCCAUCCAUUAUGAGAGAUCGACCUCUCUCAUCCACGGCUUUGGACCGGGAUCCUUGCAUCCGUCCUCUCGCUUCAUCCCCGCCGUCAUCCACCUUGCCGGCGCCGCUCCUACGACCGUCCCGUCCACCGCGCCCCGCCGCCACCGUCUACCCUCCUAGAUCUGCUUCCACGCCGCCGACAGCCAUCGCUACCGCAGCACCGUCAAAUUCUCAGCAGAUGCGUACACGGCGCCGCACCAGAGGCGGUACUCUUUCGUAUCUGCUCAACUUAUUUAUCGCAGCAAGAAAAUAGAUCGCCACUGCUUUACUCUGAUUUCUUGUCUUGGUUGCGAAGUUGCCUUUGUCUGGUUUGCACCUUCAGAUCCGCCAUGGCACGCUCAACACCAUACUCGCAAUGCUCAUGGUUUCCCCCUUUUAUAUUCCACACUAGUUAAAUCACAAUAGACUAAAUUUCAAAAUUGGGUCAGUUGAUUUUUCAGAGCUCGCCGGAGUUCGCCGGUGCGAUCGAAGGGGCUCGGGUGGGGACGGUGGUUUUGGGGGUGGUGGUGGGGCCUCGUCGAACGAAGAAAACUCGACGUGGGUGGGGGCGGGGGUAGGGGGUGGCGGACGAACACAGGCGGUGGGGCCGGUGGUUCGGCCGGUGGCCCGUGCGGUGUUCUGUAUGGGAAGCACAGUAUGUUCCUUGUCAGGAAGGGGGCAGGGACAUCUGUAGUCAACAGCUGAUAGAGCUGGCCUGUACGUGAUCGAUAGGCUUUCAAUUACUAGCGGCAUUACAACACCGUAAUUUCCAGCCAGUUCCACUUUCCCGAUUUAUAUAUCCUGGUUAUGGUGUACCCUUGUUAUGUACACUAUGAUCUGCCUAGUUGUUGUGUGCUCUUGUUAUCAUUGUUUGGCAAUAAACUCUCUAUACAGUAUAUUAUGAACCUAUCAUCUGCCAGCUAUCCUUACUUCUGGAGCCUAUUUUUUGUGUACUUGUGCCAGAUUAUAUAAAUGCACGCACCAUAUUACAGCACACAUGAGCUCUCUCAUCAGAAUCCAGUGAUAGCACACAAGUGUUUACAGGGGCGCCCCUAUAUUAGAAUAUCAUCUGCAUUACAAAGAUAAUCUCACAACUAUUUAUAUUUUCAUGGUUCUCACAUAUCAUACGCAAUUACAAUGAAUAUCAGAAUCCGCGCAUCAGAAGAAUAUUGUGGAACACUGCAAUGACUUACAAAAUUGGCACCAAGGCAUUGAGUGCCAUUCUGGAAGCAAUGAAACUUGUACGCUCCCCACCUGUUGAUUCUUGUUCAGAAUAUCAUCCUAAUGACUAUUCUAACCUCAAGGAGUCAAAGGCAGAUGGCUUGUCCUGUUCACCCAUCAAGGUGCCUGUUCUAAUUUGGCAAGGUUUUAUUUAUUGCGCGUAUCUUGCAUAUGUUGUCUUGCAUUUAUUCUACUUUGUUGCACCGCCAUCUGCUUAGUUUACUCAUCAUAUAUGUCGAGAUGCCAUACCCAUCCAUUAUCAAUACAUACUCCAUCUGUCAUCGUACCAUGUUUUUCCACUCAAAUGCUUACAUUAGUGUAGAAUACAUCCAAUGCCAAUGUUUUGAUCAAUUGUUCGCUCCAAAUCAUCUGAUUUGUAUGAAUGGUUACAUUAGUGUAGAAUAUAUCCAAUGCCAAUGUUUUUUUAGCUCUGCAUUGUUCUUGUAAGUACAUGUUGUCCUUUAUCAGUGUACUUAUAAUGACAGGUAGGUGUUCAUGUACCAUCACUCUGCAGCUUAUUUUCCUUUGCCCUCCAUUUUCUACACAUCAGAUCUAUAUUUACUCUUACCAUAAGGUUGGUACUGAAGAAGUUUAGCUGUGCAUUGCUCUUGGCUGUACCUUUUGCCUGUAUCGCUGCGCUUACAUUUAUAGCUACUUGGUUAUGUAGCAUCACUCUUCAUCUUAUCUUAAAUAUUCUCCAUUUUUUCGUAUAUUAUCACAUCUAUAUUUACUUUUAACAAAAUGUAGAAUAAAGGCAAUGCUUUUGAAGAAGAUUAUGUGGUAAACUUCUUGAAUUCCCCCCCCCCCCAUCAGCAUGGACAAGGCCUUUAUAGAGCCUGUCUUCACCAAUAAUGUAAGUUUGUCCAUCUCAAGCCUUCAAACUUUGUUGUAUAUAUUUGGUUAGGCAUGACUGCAACAGCUGUUUAUUUUUGGUGUUUGCAUCAAAUUGCUUGUUUAAAGUUUAUUAUAUGUAGUUCAUAAACAAAAGUUUGUCCUUUCUCAAUUUAAGUUUUCAGUUGUACAACCAAGUUCCUUCUUCAUACCAUGUAAAUUAAACUAUACAGAGCAAGUGAUCUUUUUUUGCACUGCAUGUAUGCUUCUGUUCUUCAUCUGUAAUCCAUUGGUGUGGUGAACCUACCCACUAAAGCACAAUGUCAUAUUCUGCAAUGUCUUAACUAUGAACAAUGUCAUAUCAUUCUAUUAUUAUUUAAACCGUCUCUUUAUUUGCCAAUCUAAAAUGGUAUAAAUUGACAGCACACUAACCAUUGAUACUUAUGAGUUCUUGAUCUGUAAUCCAGUGGUGUCGUGAAGCUGCCAACUCCUUCACAAUGUCAUUUCCUACCAUGUCUUGACCUGAACAAUACCAUAUUGUGUUAAUGCAAAUUUAAACUGUGUCACUUUAUUCGUUAGUAAGAAAUGUGAUGAAUUGUCAGCACUGAUACUUUUAUGUGCAAAACCUGUCAUCUGUCUGUAGCGACCAGACCUCAAACAGUCUGAUCUCUGUGCUCAGGUGUCAUCCCUGGAUCAGUAAUGCUGACACCACACAAUACUUGAAGGAUUUAUAACAGAGUAGCAAUCACACACUUAUUACAUCGAAUGUCUCAAAGAGAACUUAUUACAAAAAAUAUGGCUUAAGGCCAUCUAAUAACGAUAACAGCGGAAGGCUUGGAAGAUAAGCGAGUCCAUCAACUCCAACGGCAUCACUAAGUAUAGAACCACGACCGAAAAGGCACCUUACUCGUCGUCUGAAAAGUCUGCAACAUGAAACGUUGCAGCCCGAAAACAGGUCAACACAUGGAAUAUGCUGGCAAUGUAACACAUAGAGAGUAAUGAAUGGUUAAGCCUAUACUACAUGCAUAUAUGGCUGGUGGAAAGCUCUAUGGUUACAGUUUUGCAUAAAGCCAAUUUUUCCCUACUGCAAAGGAAUAAAUUUAUUUAACUAUCAUGGUGGUUGUUAAACAUUGAGAAUGGUUGACAACAUCCUCAAUCCCAUUAAAGUAAUCAUCAUUAAAAACCCAACAAUAUUAAUUUAGAGUAACAUGAUGAGAUUCACAUGAUAUCCAAGUACUAGAUACUCAAAACGUCCAUAACCGGGGACACGGCUAACCAUGAUUAGUUUGUACACUCUGCAGAGGUUUGCGCACUUUUCCCCACAAGACUCGAUCGCCUCUGUUGGAUUUCUCGCACUACAUGGUGUUUGAGAAACGGAUGACCGAGACAUAGUCUUUCAGAAGCGCUAGCACCUUACGAUGGAUAGACCAGUACACCCACUUUCCCCUACAUCCGCUAGUCUACCCUGUAAGAGUUCGCACGACUUAAUCAACUAUGCCAGAGCCCAUAAUGGCUUGUGGCUGCACACGGAAGUUUCUAGUAUGAAAAAUCUCAUGAUCCCUUUGGGCCUAGGUGGCGGUCCAUAAAAAACAGGCAAUCCUGGGGAAAACCCAGGCACCUCAUCCACCCAGAUGUGUGUAUAAGUUUCCACCUUAGAUAAACCAUUAAUCAACAAUCUCACAUCUGUCAUGGAUAUCACUCACCCAAUCCACGUCUACUAGCAUAGCAUGGCAUAAUAAGCAAACGUAGAAGUAACUCCCAAGGGUUUGAUAAUAAAACAGGUAAUACGUACUACCUCAACUACUUCCCAUCCCACAAUUUAAUUAGAUCCUAAUCAUGCAAUGUUUGAGGAUUGAUCUAAUGCAAUAAAACUGGGUAGUAAGGAGGUAUGAUCAAGUGUUACUUGCCUUGCUGAUGAUCCGUGAAACCUAGAGAUUCGAAGUAACAGGCGGCGCACUCCGGGUAUUCUAUCGCAGACAAACAAACAAGUAUACAAUAAGUACUCAUACUAAUGCACAGGUAAAACUCAAAUAAGAGAUCUAACCAGAAAGUUCAACUUAAGAACUCUGGUUUGCAAAAAGAAUCAAAUCAAACGAAGCUACGAAAGUCAAACGGAGAAAGAAAACAACUCCGUUCUACUAAUCUAGAUCUAAGUCAAAUUUUACAGAAGCAAAAACUUGUUUAAGUUGAUUAAACGGAUAGAGGGUUUCGAGGCGAAACUCCAGGCGCUUGAAUCGCCUGAUUCCGAUAAACGAGCGAAAAGUUAUACUAAAACGAAAAUCGGAUCAGAAAUCACGAUCUGAAAAUAAUCACGGAAAAUCCGAGAAAAAGAAAAACGACGAACAGAUUAACGAACGAACGUUCGUUAUCUGGAUCUAAACGACGAACACGUUCGUUAAAACGAACGAACGAGCGAACGCUCGCUAAUUAACCUAAACCGAAAAAAACCGAUCUAAAUAAAAAAACAAACGAAAAAAAACCAAUGAAAAACCAAACGGUUUUUCGAGAAAACCAGCGGCGCGGAUUUCGAGGCACCUCGGGCGGCGGGGCAGCAUCUCUGGCNNNNNNNNNNNNNNNNNNNNNNNNNNNNNNNNNNNNNNNNNNNNNNNNNNNNNNNNNNNNNNNNNNNNNNNNNNNNNNNNNNNNNNNNNNNNNNNNNNNNNNNNNNNNNNNNNNNNNNNNNNNNNNNNNNNNNNNNNNNNNNNNNNNNNNNNNNNNNNNNNNNNNNNNNNNNNNNNNNNNNNNNNNNNNNNNNNNNNNNNNNNNNNNNNNNNNNNNNNNNNNNNNNNNNNNNNNNNNNNNNNNNNNNNNNNNNNNNNNNNNNNNNNNNNNNNNNNNNNNNNNNNNNNNNNNNNNNNNNNNNNNNNNNNNNNNNNNNNNNNNNNNNNNNNNNNNNNNNNNNNNNNNNNNNNNNNNNNNNNNNNNNNNNNNNNNNNNNNNNNNNNNNNNNNNNNNNNNNNNNNNNNNNNNNNNNNNNNNCGAGGGCGGGCGGCCAGGGUUUGGCCCGGGGCUGGGCUGCGGCUUAUAAAGGCUAGACGGGCCAGAGUCCCAGGCGGACACGGCCCGUAGGUCGGUUGCGCGUUUUUUUAAUAAUAACGCGCGGAAAAAAAUAAAAAGAAAUACUAAACAGACUCCAAAAAUCCCGAAAUAAAUUUUACCCGACUUCUAAAAUCAAGCCGGACAAAGUGAACAGUUAUUCUGGGCCUAAAUACAAUUUUGAAAACGCAUAUUUUUCCUAAAUUCAAAUAGAAUAGCGAAAAACUCCGAAAUAAAAUCUUAUUUGAUUUUAUUUUUAAAUCCUCAAUAUUUCUUUAUUUUGGGAAAGUCAUUUUAUUCCCUCUCUCAUACUUUUGUAAUAGAAAUAAUUGAUGAUAAAAUAAAUAAAAUCAAAUGACCCUAUUCUCAAAAUUUGAGAGAACUCAAAUUUGAAAAUAACGAAAUCCCCAACUCUCUCCGUGGGUCCUUGAGUUGCGUAGAAUUUCGAGGAUCAAAACCAAAAGCAAAUAAAAUAUGAUAUGCAAUGAUGAUCUAAUGUAUAACAUUCCAAAUUGAAAAUUUGGGAUGUUACAAACCUACCCCCCUUAAGAUGAAUCUCGCCCUCGAGAUUCGGGUUGGCUAGAAAAUAGGUGAGGGUGGUCCUUGAGCAAAACUUCCUCUCGUUCCCAGGUGGCUUCGUCCUCCGUGUGGUGGCUCCACUGAACCUUACAGAACUUGAUAACCUUGCUGCGAGUGACUCGGAUGGCAAACUCGAGAAUCCUAACUGGUUUCUCCUCAUAGGUCAAAUUGUUAUCCAACUGAAUUGCUUCGAAUGGCACUGUGUCUCUCAAAGGUAUGUCAGCCAUUUCUGCGUGGCACUUCUUCAACUGAGAAACGUGGAACACAUCAUGAACUCCUGACAAUCCUUCGGGUAAUUCCGACUUGUAUGCCACUUCUCCCAUACGCUCCAAAACUCGGUAUGGUCCUACAAAUCGUGGCGCUAACUUCCCCUUAACUCCAAAACGCUUAAUUCCUCGUAGUGGAGAUACUCGAAGAUAAACUCUAUCUCCGACUUUGUAAACUGUCUCCUUACGUUUAGAAUCUGCAUAGCUCUUAUGCCUGGACUGGGCUACCUUGAGCCUAUCGCGAAUCAACUUCACCUUCUGUUCAGACUCUUUAAUCAAAUCAGGUCCAAACAACUGGCGGUCUCCAACUUCGUCCCAUGACAACAGUGUCCUACACCUCCUUCCGUACAAGGCUUCGAAAGGGGCCAUUUUCAAACUGGCUUGGUAACUGUUGUUGUAAGAGAACUCUGCAUAUGGCAAAUUAUCAUCCCAACUAGAUUCGUAAUCUAGCGCACAAGCUCUCAGCAUAUCCUCCAAAAUCUGAUUGACUCUCUCGGUCUGUCCAUCUGUCUGUGGAUGAAAAGCGGUACUGAACUCUAGCCUGGUACCCAAAAUUUCAUGCAACUGAUUCCAGAACUUUGAGGUAAACUGGGUUCCUCUAUCUGAUACGAUACUCCUCGGAACUCCAUGCAGACAUACUAUCCUGGUCAUGUAUAUCUUUGCCAACUUAGCACUGGUGUAAGUGGUCUUUACCAGGAUGAAAUGAGCUACCUUCGUCAACCGAUCAACUACAACCCAAAUCGAGUCAUAGCCGGAACGAGUCCUUGGUAAUCCCGUGAUAAAAUCCAUGCCUAGCUUAUCCCACUUCCAUUCGGGUAUCUGCAAUGGCUGUAGCAGUCCUGCUGGCUUCUGAUGCUCUGAUUUUACUCUCUGACAUACAUCACAAACUGCUACAUACUCCGCAAUAUCUUUCUUCAUUCCGGUCCACCAGAAAGUAUCCUUCAAAUCCAAAUACAUCUUGGUAUUUCCGGGGUGAAUCGAAUACGGUGAAUCAUGCGCCUCUUGCAGAAUCAACUUCCUGAUCUCCGGGUCAUUGGGCACAUAAACACGGUCUUUAAACCAUCGGGUAUCGUGCUCAUCCUCACGAAAACCUUUAGCCUUUCCUUCGCUCAUUUUCUCCUUUAUAGAUGCAAUCUCCUUGUCAGUCUUCUGAGCUUCUCUGAUUCUAUCCAUCAAAGUCGACUAAAUCUCCAAUGCUGCUACAUAGCCUCUCGGAACUAUUUCCAUACAUAGCUCAUGAAGAUCCUUGGCUAACUCCUUUGGCAAUCCUCCCGUCAUUAGUGUAUUGACAUGCCUCUUACGGCUCAACGCGUCAGCUACUACAUUGGCCUUUCCGGGAUGAUAAUGCAAUCUCAUAUCAUAAUCCUUGAUGAGCUCCAACCAUCUCCUUUGUCUGAGGUUUAACUCCUUCUGCGUGAAAAUGUACUUCAAACUCUUGUGAUCCGUGUACACCUCAUAGUGGUUUCCAAUGAGGAAAUGUCUCCAUGUCAAUGCAUGUACUACGGCUGCUAACUCCAAAUCAUGCGUGGCAUAAUUUAAUUUGUGAGGUUUCAGUUGUCGCGAAGCGUACGAAACAACUAUUCCCUCCUGCAUAAGCACUGCUCCAAGUCCUCGACGUGAAGCGUCGCAAUACACCUCAUAAUCCUUGGUCUGAUCUGGCAGAAUCAACAUUGGUGAGGUAACCAAACGUUUCUUCAACUCCUAGAAACUUGCCUCACACUCCUCAGUCCAUAUGAACUUAGUAUCCUUCUUCAGCAACUCCGUCAUAGGCUUUGCAAUCUUUGAGAAGUUCUCAAUAAAUCUCCGGUAGUAUCCUGCGAGUCCAAGGAAACUCCGGAUCUCUCCAACUGUUGUUGGUGCUUCCCAAUUGGUCACAGUGAUAACCUUUGUGGGGUCAACCGCUAUUCCUUCUCCGGAUAUAACGUGUCCGAGGAAACCUACUUCCUUCAACCAAAACUCACAUUUGCUGAACUUGGCAUAUAACUGAUGUUCUCUGAGCUUCUCAAGUACUAAUCACAAAUGUUCCUUAUGCUCCUCUUCAUUCUUCGAGUAAACCAGAAUAUCAUCAAUGAACACCACGACGAACUUAUCCAAAAACUCCAUAAACACUUUGUUCAUCAUGUUCAUAAAAUAGGCAGGUGCAUUAGUCAGACCAAAUGACAUAACGGUAUACUCAUACAGUCCAUAUCUUGUGGAGAAAGUUGUCUUAGGUAUGUCCUGCUCUCGAAUCUUCAAUUGAUGGUACCCUGAUCGUAAAUCGAUCUUGGAAAAUACUUCGGCUCCUUGCAACCGAUCAAACAGACCAUUGAUCAUUGGUAGUGGGUACUUGUUCUUGAUUGUUACUUCAUUCAAUCCACGGUAAUCAACAACCAUCCUUAGUGAUCCAUCCUUUUUCUCCACUAGCAGUACUGGUGAUCCCCAAGGUGACGAACUUGGGCGAAUGUAACCUUUAUCUAGUAACUCCUUAAUCUGCUUCUUAAUCUCCACCAAAUCCUUUGCGGGCAUCCUGUAUGGUCUCUUCGAUAUUGGCCCUGUGCCUGGCAAAAGCUCAAUCAAAAACGCAAUAUCUCUAUCUAGUGGCAUGCCUGGCAACUCUUCUGGAAAUACGUCAGGGAAAUCCUUUACCACUGGUACUUCCUCCUGCACAACUCAUGAUAAGGAAUUUACUUGUGUCCUGUUUAGCGCAUGCCGGGAUACAUACUUGAUCCUUCUUCCUUCUGGCGUUGUGAGCAAAAUUGUCUUACUAGCGCAACCAUUGUUUCCUCCAUACAUCGACAGCCAAUCCAUACCGAAAAUUACAUCCAAACCUUGGGAUUCUAGAACAAUUAAAUCCGUUGGGAAAACAUGCCUUCCUAUACUUAGUGGCACUUGAAAACAUCCUUGACUGGCCAUAUACUCCGCUCCUGGUGAGCUUACUAGCAUAGGUGUUUUAAGAACCUUAGUAGGCAGGUUAUACUUAUCCACAAACCCCCUUGAUAUGUAUGAAUGUGAUGCACCAGUAUCAAAAAGAACGAGUGCAGUAAACGACUUAACCAAAAACUUGCCUAUUACUGCAUCAGGCUGAGCUUCAACCUCCUCCACAUUAACGUGGUUCACUUGUCCCCUGCUGAAAGGGUUCGGCUUCUUCCCAGAGCUUCCAUUGCCAUUCUGGCCUUCAGCACAUUCAUUGGCAUAAUGUCUAGUCUUCUGACACUUAAAGCAGGUGAUUUGACUCAGGUCUCUCUUGGCUGGGGUUGAUGGGGUGGUACGGUUCUGGCCAUUGCUUCCUCCAUUCCCAUUACCAUUCUUGGGGCCAUUAUGGUUGUGCGAGCUACCUCCAUGGGUAUGCUGAAAAUGAACGCCCGGCUUAGGGGUAAGACGGGGUUUCUGCUGAGCUCCAGAAUUGUAUUUCCCCUGUCCAUACUUCCUCUUGAGGUUUUCAAUCUGCUGCUGCUUCCCUUCAAUCAUAAGAGCACGAUCUACCAACUCCUGGUAGUUGUUGAAGCUUGCUACCAUCAACUACAUACUCAGCUCGUCAUUCAGUCCUUCCAGAAACUUCUCUUGCUGAGCUGCAUCCGUAGCAACGUCAUCUGGGGCAUAACGUGCUAGCUUACUAAAGUCAUCCACAUACUGGCCAACUGUCCAUCCUCCUUGGCGCAAGUUACGAAACUUGUGCUUCUUCAUGGCCAUAGCUCCUGCUGAAACAUGGGCAGUACGGAAAGCUUGCUGAAACUGGUCCCAUGUGACAGUGUCUACAGGGUAAGUGGCUGUAAAAUUCUCCCACCAUGCUGCUGCGGGUCCUUCAAGCUGAUGUGCGGCAAACUUCACCUUUUCCCCAUCUAUACAUCCUGCAGUGGUCAACUCCCUCCCUGUCUUGCGGAGCCAAUCAUCUGCUACUAUCGGCUCAGUGCUACUAGAAAACACCGGCGGAUUCAGCCUAAAAAAACGGGUUAAGUGAUCAACUGGUGGUGGCGGCGGAGGGUUGUUGUUGUUGUUGUUGUUGUUGUUGUUGUUGUUGUUCUGGUUCUGGACUAACAACUGCAUCAAAGCAUUCUGCUGCUAGAUCAACUGAGUGAGCUCCGGUGGGAAAGCAAAUCCGUUGUCACAUCUCGGAGGCAUCUGAGGAUUUAGAAAAGAUGAGAAUUAAGAAUAGAAUGAGGCCUAAAGAGAAAACACUACCCAAAUGCACAUGAGGCAAAUGCACACAAAAUCACUCCAUUCAAUCAAACAAGGGCAUACAAUCGGUCUAGAACUAUCGCAAAUAGUGCGUGGACUAUAUUAUGUACAUGGUGGAACACUACUACUGUUAUGGUAGUCUACUAGAAAAACUGCUCUGAUGAAGACUCCAUGAUAUCUGCUCCAGCUUCGUCUUCGAAAUCAUCAUCACUAGGAUCGGAAUCGGUGUCAUCGAUGAUGAUGUAGUUAUCUGGACAGGUGCAAUCUUCAUCUUCUCCUCCGGGUGCUGAGUUCCCCAUGAGUUCUUCAAUCUUCUCCUUAAGGUCGCCGUUUUGUCUCACUAGAGCUACAAUCUCAUCCAUGUAGUCUUUGCGAGUAGCCUUAAGUUCUCCUUCUAGCUCAAUAAUCUUGGCUUUAGCUUUCUUCAACUCCAUCAUGUCUGCGCACAUCUGGUUCUCUUGGCGUCGAAUGUGCUGGUUUAACUCCUGGAUGAAAGCUGCAAUGGAUUUAUCCUUCUUGGUGCUAACUAUCUCCCAUUGUUCAUCUCGGCGUCCGCAAAUCUGGUAAAUAGUAUCCUUGAGGUAUUCUUGGUAGACUUCUCCAAUGUGUCCCAUGGUUAUGUGAGCGGCCAUGCUCUUUCCCAGACUCCAGGUUGGUGCAUUAAAAACACACUCUAUGGGCUCUGUGACUGGCGCGAACGUCCUUCCUGGAACUUGAGCUUCAAUCUUCCAACGCUCCUCUUCGGGUAAAGUGGCGUUGUAGAUCCCGGUGAAGCUUGGUAUUCCAAUGUUCAGGUACUUGGUGACUUCCUUCAGGUGUCGUCUAAAAGGUGUAUCUUCAUCCGGUUGCGUGAACUUGAUCUUCGCUUCCGUCAUCCUAAAAGAGUAGAAAAGAUGAGGAGUCAGAAAUGAGAAGAGAGUAGUGAUCUAGGGCUUUUGCUUAGUGGUCGUGUCCUACAGUCAGCGUGUGUUCUGAUACCAUCUUUAUAGCGACCAGACCUCAAACAGUCUGAUCUCUAUGCUCAGGUGUCAUCCCUGGAUCAGUAAUACUGACACCACACAUUACUUGAAGGAUUUAUAACAGAGUAGCAAUCACACACUUAUUACAUCGAAUAUCUCAAAGAGAACUUAUUACAAUAAAUACGGCUUAAGGCCAUCUAAUAACGAUAACAGCGGAAGGCUUGGAAGAUAAGCGAGUCCAUCAACUCCAACAGCAUCACUGAGUAUAGAACCACGACCUAAAAGGCACCUAACUCAUUGUCUAAAAAGUCUGCGACAUGAAACAUUGCAGCCCGAAAACGGGUCAGCACAUGGAAUAUGCUGGCAAUGUAACACAUAGAGAGUAAUGAAUGUUAAGCCUAUACUACAUGCAUAUAUGGCUGGUGGAAAGCUUUAUGGUUACAGUUUUGCGUAAAGCCAAUUUUUCCCUACUGCAAAGGAAUAAAUUUAUUUAACUAUCAUGGUGGUUGUUAAACAUUGAGAAUGGUUAAUGGCAUCCUCAAUCCCAUUAAAGUAAUCAUCAUUAAAAACCCAACAAUAUUAAUUUAGAGUAACAUGAUGAGAUUCACAUGAUAUCCAAGUACUAGAUACUCAAAACGUCCAUAACCGGGGACACGGCUAACCAUGAUUAGUUUGUACACUCUACAGAGGUUUGUGCACUUUUCCCCACAAGACUCGAUCGCCUCCGUUGGAUUUCUCGCACUACAUGGUGUUUGAGAAACGGAUGACCGAGACAUAGUCUUUCAGAAGCGCUAGCACCUUACGAUGGAUAGACCGGUACACCUACUUUCCCCUACAUCUGCUAGUCUACCCUAUAAGAGUUCGCACGACUUAAUCAACUAUGCCAGAGCCCAUAAUGGCUUGUGGCUGCACACGGAAGUUUCUAGUAUGAAAAAUCUCAUGAUCCCUUUGGGCCUGGGUGGCGGUCCAUAAAAAAACAGGCAAUCCUGGGGAAAACCCAGGUACCUCAAUCCACCCAGAUGUGUGUUUAAGUUGCCACCUUAGAUAAACAAUUAAUCAACAAUCUCACAUCUGUCAUGGAUAUCACUCACCCAAUCCACGUCUACUAGCAUAGCAUGGCAUAAUAAGCAAACGUAGACGUAACUCCCAAGGGUUUGAUAAUAAAACAGGUAAUAGGUACUACCUCAACUACUUCUCAUCCCACAAUUUAAUUAGAUCCUAAUCAUGCAAUGUUUGAGGAUUGAUCUAAUGCAAUAAAACUGGGUAGUAAGGAGGUAUGAUUAAGUGUUACUUGCCUUGCUGAUGAUCCGCGAAACCUAGAGAUUCGAAGUAAUAGGCGGCGCACUCCGGGUAUUCUAUCGCAGACAAACAAACAAGCAUACAAUAAGUACUCAUACUAAUGCACAGGUAAAACUCAAAUAAGAGAUCUAACCAGAAAGUUCAACUUAAGAACUCCGGUUUGCAAAAAGAAUCAAAUCAAACGAAGCAACGAAAGUCAAACGGCGAAAGAAAACAACUUCAUUCUACUAAUCUGGAUCUAAGUCAAAUUUUACAGAAGCAAAAACUUGUUUAAGUUGAUUAAAUGGAUAGAGGGUUUCGAGAUGAAACUCCAGGCGCUUGAAUCGCCUGAUUCCGAUAAACAAGCGAAAAGUUAUACUAAAACGAAAAUCGGAUCAGAAAUCGCGAUCAGAAUAUAAUCGCGGAAAAUCCGAGAAAAAGAAAAACGACGAACAAAUUAACGAACGAAUGUUCAUUAUCUGGAUCUAAACGACGAACACGUUCAUUAAAACGAACGAACGAGCGAAUGCUCGCUAAUUAACCUAAACCGAAAAAACCCGAUCUAAAUAAAAAAACAAACGAAAAAAAAAACCGACGAAAAACCGAACGGUUUUUUGAGAAAACCGGUGGCGCGGAUUUCGAGGCACCUCGGGCGGCGGGGCGGCGGCUACUGCGACGGNNNNNNNNNNNNNNNNNNNNNNNNNNNNNNNNNNNNNNNNNNNNNNNNNNNNNNNNNNNNNNNNNNNNNNNNNNNNNNNNNNNNNNNNNNNNNNNNNNNNNNNNNNNNNNNNNNNNNNNNNNNNNNNNNNNNNNNNNNNNNNNNNNNNNNNNNNNNNNNNNNNNNNNNNNNNNNNNNNNNNNNNNNNNNNNNNNNNNNNNNNNNNNNNNNNNNNNNNNNNNNNNNNNNNNNNNNNNNNNNNNNNNNNNNNNNNNNNNNNNNNNNNNNNNNNNNNNNNNNNNNNNNNNNNNNNNNNNNNNNNNNNNNNNNNNNNNNNNNNNNNNNNNNNNNNNNNNNNNNNNNNNNNNNNNNNNNNNNNNNNNNNNNNNNNNNNNNNNNNNNNNNNNNNNNNNNNNNCUGGGCUGCGGCUUAUAAAGGCUAGACGGGCUAGAGUCCCAGGCGGACAUGGCCCGUAGGUCGGUUGCGCGUUUUUUUAAUAAUAACGCGCGGAAAAAAAUAAAAAGAAAUACUAAACGGGCUCCAAAAAUCCCAAAAUAAAUUUUACCCGAUUUCUAAAAUCAAUCCGGACAAAGUGAACAUUUAUUUGGGGCCUAAAUACAAUUUUGAAAAACGCAUAUUUUUCCUAAAUUCAAAUAGAAUAGCGAAAAACUCCGAAAUAAAAUCUUAUUUGAUUUUAUUUUUAAAUCCUCAAUAUUUCUUUAUUUUGGGAAAGUCAUGUUAUUCCCUCUCUCAUAAUUUUGUAAUAGAAAUAAUUGAUGAUAAAAUAAAUAAAAUCAAAUGACCCUCUAUGGUAUGCAAUGAUGAUCUAAUGUAUAUGCAAUGAUGUAUAACAUUCCAAAUUGAAAAUUUGGGAUGUUACAAACCUACCCCCCUUAAGAUGAAUCUCGCCCUCGAGAUUCGGGUUGGCUAGAAAAUAGGUGAGGGUGGUCCUGUCUUCGAUGCUGCAGUUAUUUUACUGUAUAUAUAUCCUGUCUUCGCAGUAAAUCGGCCAAACCGUAAAAUUACGGUACAUAAUCGGGCCGUCAUGCAAUCACGAUGUAGGUUGAGCCUGAAACGUGUCGAUCAGCUCAGCUCACGGGCCGACAGCAGCCCGAAAUGAACCCCGGCCCAUGAUUGUGCGAAUCAAGUCACGAGCUUUUAACAGGCCAAAAUUGUCUCGGUCCUUGUUUGGCCCAAUCAGAUAUCGGCUACGAGCAGGCCGGAUGCAAACCGGGCCGUAGUUAGGCCCAACUAUAUGACGGGCUUUUAACAGGCCGAAAUUAAUAUAGGGCCGAAAUGUUAAACGGGCCCUUAACAGGCUGUCGGUGUCAAAACCGGCGGAUCUCGGGUAGGGGGUCCCGAACUGUGCGUCUAGGCUGGAUGGUAACAGGAGGCAAGAGACACGAAGUUUUACGCAAGUUCGGGCCCUCUUGAUGGAGGUAAAACCCUACGUCCUGCUUGAUUAAUAUUGAUGAUAUGGGUAGUACAAUAGUAGAUCUACCACGAGAUCAGAGAGGCUAAACCCUAGAAGCUAGCCUAUGGUAUGAUUGUUGUUGUGUUGUAUAUCUUCUAUCGACUAGCCUGGCCUCAGUUUAUAUAAUGCACCAGAGGCCUAGGAUAACAAGAGUCCUAGCCGAAUACGCCGGUGGGGAGGAGUCCUUGUCUUGAUCGCCAAGUCUUGUGGAAUCUUCCUUGUAUGCGGCAGCUGUCCGAACUGGCCCAUGAGUAUACGACCAUGGGGGUCCUCGGCCCAAUCUAACAGAUCAGGAGAUGGCGUGGUGAGUACCCCCUAGUCCAGGACACCGUCAUAGGCCAAAACUAAUAUCAAGCUGAAUUACUACAUGGGCCUUUAGCAAGUGGGCCCAAAAGCAUAGUGUCUAGUUGACGGGCCGAAUCUGAUAUGGGCCAUAAUUGAGCCCAAAGCCUCUUAAAGGGUCGGACCUGAUCUGGACCGUAAUUUGGCCCAGAACGUGGUAGGCCUUUAAUGGGCCGGAUCUCAUAUGGGCCACUAUUAGGCCCGGAGCAUGGCAGGCCAUUAAUGGACCGGAUCAAAUAUGGGCCGGCAUUUGUCCCAAAACAUGGCAGGCGGUUAAUGGGCCGGCCUACUAGGGUCCACAAAAUCUUGUGGGCCUAUAGCUAGGUCGGCCCAUUAAUGUCGGCGAAAUCUCAUGGGCCUUUAGCUGGGCCGGCCCAUUAUGACCGGCAAGAAUCUUGUGGGCUUUACCUCGGCCGGCCCAUUAUGGCACAAAAAAAAUCUUGUGGGCCUUUACCUGGGCCGGCCCAUUAUGGCCUGCAAAAUCUUGUGGGCCUUUAGCUGGGCCAGCCCAUUAUGGUCCACAAAAUCUCGUGGGCCUUUAGCUGGGCCGGCCCAGUAUGGUCCGCAAAAUCUUGUGGGCCUAUAGUUGUGCCGACCCAUUUAAACUUGAUGGGCCGGUCCACGUGUCAACAUGUCAUAGGCGCAUCUCGCUCAUUGGAUGAUUUGACACGUGUCUCCUCCAGCCAAUGAUGAUUUUACACGUGGAAAAUCCCCAUUGGUCGGGGCUGUUAACGGGUUAUCGGAUCCAAAACCCGACCCGAUAGCUUAACGGCGUUCCGUCACGGCGGAUGCCAUGUGUCGGUCACCCUUGACGAAAGCACUUUUGUGACGCGCGAUUUAUUGUCAUGGAAGUGGACACUUCCGUGAUGAUAAUUUUGGUAAUGUCAUGGAACACUUCGACGACAGCACAGGUAUGACCAUCUUGAUUUUGUCAUAAAUUUGUCAUGGAUGUACAUGCAUGAAAAAAAAAGUGACCUACUGUGACAAACACAUAUCAUCACAGAAGUGUAUUUUUUUGUAGUGGAACUUCGAUUGGAAAUUGUUCCUAGAGGUUUUGUUGCAAUAAUGGAAGUUCAGUCUACAUUGUUAGGAAAGAUUCGGGAAGCUCAGAAGGAUGACAAACAGAUUGCCGAGAUAAAAGAAAGAAUGAGCAAAGGAAAGGCCAAAGGUUUUCGUGAGGAUGAGCACGACACCUUAUGGUUUGAGGACCGUGUUUAUGUGCCCAAUAACACAGAGAUCAGGAAGUUAAUACUUCAGGAGGCUCAUGACUCACCAUACUCGAUACACCCCAGAAACACCGAGAUAUAUUUGGAUUUGAAGGAAUGUUUCUGGUGGACUGGUAUGAAGAAGGAUAUUGCUGAGUAUGUAGCCGUAUGUGAUGUAUGUUAGAGAGUGAAGGCACAACAUCAAAAGCCAGCAGAAUUGUUACAGCCUAUGCCGAUACCAGAAUGGAAGUGUGAUAAACUUGGCAUGGAUUUCAUCACUGGAUUGCCCAGGACCAAAUCAGGAUAUGAUUCUAUAUCUCUACUCCUAAUGGACGACUUGGUUGAAUAGUCCCCCCCACUUUCAACCGGUUUAUUUUCAGCCGGUUUUUUUUCAACCGGUUUUUCUUCGUCCCACCUCCCACCACCCCCCUCCCACCGGUUUUUCUCUUUCUCGUCUGGCCGACAAUACCCAAAGUAUUUAUGGUAAUCAAUCACAAAUAUGAUAAUUAUAGUAAUAAAUCAAUCCAUGUAUGGUAAGGCUAUAACUAAGGAAAUUUUGAAUAUGGUAAUUAUCACCAGAAUCAAAGCUUUCCAAAAAAGUUCUUCUUGCCAUACCCUAAUCGUGACCUCCUCAUCCUGAGGCAUUAUUUCCAUCUAUUUCUCAGCUGAAUCAGAACUUUCCAAAACUUUGUCUGACUAAAUCACAAUUUUCCUUCCUUCCCUAUCAUCUCAAUCGAAUCAUGAGCUAUAGGUAAGUCAUUUCGUUCUCCACCUCGCACGGGUUGUACUGAUUUUUAUCAUGGUUUGGCCCCCUACCGUACAAGCCGCUCGAUUCCUCCUCCCUUGCUCAAUUCCUCCACCCUAUCUUCUUCUUCAUGGUGAGCAACCCAGACAGCGAUGCGUGCCCGUUAUGCAUCAGCGAGGAGGACCAGGAAACGUUGAUUGCCACCCCCGCGCUCGUCACGUGAACCCGUUCACCGUCAGGUCAUGCUGGUGUGUUACGGGUGUAGGUGCACCUUACCUUAGCCAUGGAGGUUUGUCGGUGGACAACGGAGGCCUCGCCAUGGACACCAGUAUCCCUCUCCUCUUCCUGCGCCCUACCUCUCCUUCCUCAGUCUCUACCUCUCUCUCUCUCUUUUUCUCUGUUCCAGGAGAUCUGCAGCCGACGCCACAGGCCCUGCCCGUUCGCUGCCGGUCACCUCGCCUCGCUGUUCGAUCUCACCGCUAGAUAUGCACGACUCCGCCGCCCUAUGCCGUCCUUGUCGGGCACCAUCAUGGCGGCGCGAACACUAUAUGCAGUGGCUACAAUCGGCGGUGGAUUCAACAGCGCGGUGGGCACUAGCGAGUAGCGACCCAGCGGGCAGUGGCUGUGCUGGCCGCUGUCUGCCGCCGAGGUGUAACGGCUCAGGCCCAGACUCCGAGUUCGUCAUGGCGCUCCGCGCGACUUCCCUUGCGCCGGCUGACUCAUGCAUGCAUCUACAAUCUAACUAGCUAAUUCCUCUCUUUGACUGCUAUUUUCUCUGGUUGUACUAUUCCACAGCUUAGGGAUCAUCUACACAAUCCAUCGGCUCAUGCAUGCACAAUCUAAUUAAUUUGUCUACUGACUGCAGUUUAUGAAUUGCUCCACAGAUCAUUUAUAGAGAUGAUUUCAGACUUAGAAGUGUUGAGGUCAUGAUGCUCUAAAUAGUUUUGAAGUUGUAUUCACGACAUCAUGAUGCUCUAAAUGAAAUGAAAAUUUGAUGGAUUCAAGAAGAAAAAGGUCAGGUAUGUUUAGUAUGCACUACAGUAGAAAUUUCACUUGUGGUCAUCUUGGGAUACUUGUACAUGCUUGGUGUUACAAUAAUUCUACUAAUUAAUUCCAUGAAAGUGCUGAAAUUUGCUCAGUAAACAAGAAACCCACUUGGUAACAUAUUUGGACGCCAUACAAGUGGAUCUGCAUUUUUUCAUCAAGGUGUUGUCUCAUCUUUUAAUUUGCAUCGUCGCUCUUGAAUAAUUAGUUUUCAUAGAGAUUUAUCUUUGAUCUGAACAUUUUGAACUUUCUUUUUGCAUAACCUUAAUAAAAGGAUUGACAACAAAUAAUCAGAGAAGACUAGCCAACGAGAUGAGGAGAGGAAAGAAGUGAAAAGAGACAAAAUACAGUAUGAUAUAUCAAUUUAGAAGUCAUAGCAAUGCACAUCUUUCUAAAUAUAUAUCUUUAUGUGAUUGGUCACAAGCUGUAGUUGGUAGUGGUAGUAGUAUAUAUUCACUAUAAUUGUUUGUACAAAAUCACAUUAAAAAAAUCACACAUAAAUCACAACAAUUGCGUGCAAAAACACAUAAUCUUACCAUAUUUCAUAGGGUGCUAUCAUUUUUCAUGUUUGUAGUUGUAUGCGAAUAUUAAAUGUAUUAUUAACAUGAUUAUUAAAUGUAUGAGAAUAUUAACAUGAUCAAUAUUGAACUCUUAAAGUUAACAUGAUUAAUAUUGAACUCUUACCAUAUUUUCAUAUGUCACUUGAUAUGUAUGAGAAUAUUAAAUGUAUUAUUAACAUGAUUAAUAUUGAACUCUUAAAGUUAAUGUGGCCCCGUUGCAACGCACGGGCGUUCUUCUAGUGGGUAGUAGUUGAUCGCUUGACCAAAGUGGCUCACUUUAUCCCAGUGAAAACAACCUAUACAAGUGCGAAGUUGGCCAAGAUAUACAUGACCAGGAUUGUAUGUCUGCAUGGAGUUCCGAGGACCAUAGUAUCAGAUAGAGGAACACAGUUUACCUCAAAGUUUUGGCAUCAACUACACCAGACUUUGGGAACGAGAUUGGAGUUCAGUACAGCAUUUCACCCGUAGACGGAUGGAUAGACCGAGAGAGUCAACUAGAUUCUGGAGGACAUGUUGAGGGCUUGUGCGCUGGAUUAUGGAUCUAGUUGGGAUGACAAUUUGCCCUAGGCAGAGUUCUCAUACAACAAUAGCUACCAAGCCAGUUUGAAGAUGGCACCGUUCGAAUCCCUGUAUGGACGAAGGUGCAGAACACCGUUGAUGUGGGAUGAAGUUGGAGACUGACAGUUGUUUGGACCAGACUUGAUCAAGGAGUCUGAAGAGAAAGUUAAGUUGAUCCGAGAUAGACUAAAGGUAGCUCAGUCCAGGCAGAAGAGUUAUGCAGAUUCGAAACACAAGGAGGUAACCUAUGGAAUUGGAGAUAGAGCAUAUCUGCGAGUGUCACCCUUGCGAGGAGUGAAACGUUUUGGAGUCAAGGGAAAGUUAGCCCCGAGAUUUGUAGGACCGUAUCAUGUUUUAGAACAUAUGGGAGAAGUUGCCUACAAGUUGGAGUUACCUGAAGGACUGUCAGGAGUUCAUGAUGUGUUUCAUGUUUCACAGCUGAAGAAGUGUCAUGCUGAGAUGGCCGAUAUACUGUUAAGAGAUACAGUACCCUUGGAGGCGAUUCAGUUGGACAGUGAUCUGACCUAUGAGGAGAAGCCAGCCAUGAUUCUUGAAUUUGCCAGCCGAGUCACCCGCAACAAGGUUAUCAAGUUUUGCAAAGUUCAGUGGAGCCACCAUACCGAGGAUGAAGCCACCUGGAAAGGAGAGGAUGAUCUUCGCAAAGACCACCCGCACCUAUUUUCUAGCCAACCCGAAUCUCGAGGGCGAGAUUCAUCUUAAGGGGGGUAGGUUUGUAACAUCCCAAAUUUUCAAUUUGGAAUGUUAUACAUAGAUCAUUCAUACAUAUCAUAUUUUAUUGCAUUUCGUUUCGCGAUCCUCGAAAUCCUAAGCAACUCAACGACCCUCGGAGAGAGUUGGGGAUUUCAUUGUUUUCAUAUUUGAAUUUUAUCAAAUAUAGAAACGAGGAUUAUUUGUUUUAAUUAUUUUUCUCUCCAAAAAUAUUUCAUAUUAAAAUAUACGAGAGGAGAUAAUAUGACUUCUCCAAAAUAAUUGAAAUAUUGGAGGAAAAAUAUUAAAAUCAAAUAUUUGAUUUUAUUCGGAGUUUAUUGCUAUUUUAUUUGCAUUAGAAAAAUUGCAUGUUUUUCCAAAAUUGCAUUUUAGGGCCAAGAAAAUGUUCAUCUUGUUCUAAAUAUUUUAUUUAGAUGGUGAAAAAUUGUUUUGGUAUUUUUAAAUUUUUAUUUAUUUUUCUAGGAUUUAUUUAAGUUUCGGCGAAAUUAUUUAAAAAGAAAGGUUUCUCUUCGCCGACUGGGCCGAAGCCCAGCCAGUCGGCCCAGCCCAGCCGCGCCGUCCACCUCGUCACCGACGCGGAGACCGCCGCUGUCGCGCGCUGAGUCCGACCGGGACUCCUCUCCCGCGACGCCUUGCCCCCUCCCCCCAAGCUAGCCCCCUCCUUUAUAUACGCCGCCCCGGACCCCCCUCACCUCAAGCCGAACCCUGCCGCCCGCCGAACCCCGCCCGCGCCGCCGCCUAGCGCCACGCCGCCGCUNNNNNNNNNNNNNNNNNNNNNNNNNNNNNNNNNNNNNNNNNNNNNNNNNNNNNNNNNNNNNNNNNNNNNNNNNNNNNNNNNNNNNNNNNNNNNNNNNNNNNNNNNNNNNNNNNNNNNNNNNNNNNNNNNNNNNNNNNNNNNNNNNNNNNNNNNNNNNNNNNNNNNNNNNNNNNNNNNNNNNNNNNNNNNNNNNNNNNNNNNNNNNNNNNNNNNNNNNNNNNNNNNNNNNNNNNNNNNNNNNNNNNNNNNNNNNNNNNNNNNNNNNNNNNNNNNNNNNNNNNNNNNNNNNNNNNNNNNNNNNNNNNNNNNNNNNNNNNNNNNNNNNNNNNNNNNNNNNNGCAGCCGGACCUUGCCGGAGCCGCCCCGCCUCGCCGGACCUCGCCGGAGGUAUAAGCCGCCGUUGCCGCCGUUCGAUUUUAUUUUUAAACCGAUCCGGUUUUAAAAAAAACCUAGGUUCGUUUUUUAGGAUAGAUCGUUUUUUUUUCUGGUUUAGUUUAUUUAGCGGACGUUCGUCCGUACGUUCGUUUUAAUGAACAGUGUUCACCCGUUAGCCGCAGACAGCAAACGUUCGUUCGUUAGCCUGUUCGUCAGUUUUUAUUUUUCUCGGAUUUUUCGCGAUUAUUUUCGAUCGCGAUUUUUGAUCCGAUUUUUGUUUUAGUUUAUCUUUUUGCUCGUUUAUCGGAAUCAGGCGAUUCAAGUGCCUAGAUCUUUGUCUCGAAACCCUCUUUCCGUUUAGUCAACUUGAACAAGAUUUUGGUACUGUAAAAUUUGACUUUAGUUCAGAUUAGUAAACAUAUCUUGUUUCUUUCGUAGUUUGAGUUUCUUUGCUCCGUUUGAUUUGAUUCUUUUCGCAAACCGGAGUUCUUAAGUUGAACUUUCUAGUCAAUUCUUCUUAUUUGAGUUUUUCCCGUGCAUCUUUGCUUGAAUGCUUAUGUAUGCUAUUGUUUGUUUGUGAUAGAAUUCCCGGAGUGCAAAGCGUGCUACUACGAGUCCCUAGGUUUUGCGGGUCGUCAGCAAGGCAAGUAACACAUUGAUCAUACUCCUUUCAUACCCAGUUUUUAUGCAUUAGUUCCAAUCCUCAAACAUUGCAUGAUUAGUGUGAGAUUAACUUGUGGGUAUUGGGAAGUAGUUGAUGAGGUAGAACCUAUUGCCAUGUUAUAUUCAAACACUUGGGAGUUACUUCUACGUAUUGCUUAUAUUGCUAUGCUAUGCUCGUAGACGUGGUUUGGGUUAGUGAAUCCAUGACUGAUGUGAGAUGAUUAAUUAAUGGUUCAACUUAAGGUGGCAACUUUAAUACACAUCUGGGUGGAUUGCUUGUCGGGCACCUGGAGAAUCCAGUGUUGUCCUAGGAUAUCCCGGAGUACCCGUGUGAUAAUCCUAAGGUCCGCCACCCAGGCUCAAAGGGAACUGAGAUAUUUUCAUGCUAGAAACUUCCGUGUGCAGCCACAAGCUAUUAUGGGCUCUAGCAUAGUUGAGUAAGUUGCAUGAGCUCUUGAAGAGGUGGAUCAGCAGGUAGAGGGAUGUAGGUUGGUAUGGUCUGCCCGGAGUAAAGAGUUAAUGUUUCUGAAAAACUGUGUCUCGGUCAUCCGUUUCUCAAACACCGUGUAGUGCGAGAAAUCCAACGAAGGAGAUCGAGUCUUGUGGGGAAAAGUGCGCAAACCUCUGCAGAGUGUACAAUCUAAUCGUAGUUAGUCCUGUCCUCGGUUAUGGACAUCUUGAUUAUCUAGUACUUGGAUUAUCCUAAGUAUCUCAUCACCCUAAAUUAAUAUUGUUGGGUUGAUAAUCUAUUUAUAUAUAAAAGGAGCUUGAUGGGUUAACUAGAAAAAAAGAGAAAUACAAUAAAAAUCCCACAAAAAAUAGAAAUAUCUGACCAUUAAUUAGUAGACUAAAGUUAUACAACCAUUAGAUUAGAUAUAAUAAAAAUCCCUAUCUGACCGUUAAUUAGUAGACUAAAGUUAUACAACCAUUAGAUUAGAUUUAAGUAGAAAAAUUACCCACCACUGCCAUUAUGAUGAAAAAACCUUUCGUAAAGCAUUGCCAUUGCCAUUAUAAGGAAAACGGCAGUGUGGGACGUGGAUUACUGCUCACACUUGAAGAACAUCUAAACCUAGGGUUUCGUCUAGGUUAUGGAUUGGUUCGGGUUGAUCUUGACCAAAAUACAUGAAGGCGCACUUGAAGAUCGUCUUAACGGGCUCAUCUAGGUACUGGAGUUCGUGUUGAUAUUGAUCAAAACACAUGAAGGCGCACUUGAGUAACAUCUUAACGGGCAGGCUCUUCUAGGUACUGGAGUUCGUGUUGAUUUCAACCAAAAUCGAUGAAGGCGGACUUGAAGAACAUCUUAACCUAGGGAUCUUCUACGUAUUGUAUUGAUUCAUGUUGAUGUCAUCUACCAAAAUCCAUGAGCAUGCCGCGACCUGGGUACAGCCGUACAGGGCCGAUGAAAAUUUAUCUGAGCAUGCAGCGACCUAGGUACAUGAUUACAUGGCCGAUGAAAAUUAAUCUGCAGGGAUCUCCAAGAUUUCUUCUACUAUGGUUAGUCCUCCUCAAAUUGGAAUUUUGAAUCUAGAUUUCUAGAGUAUGGUCCGUUCUUGAAGUUUCUCCUCUUGCGAUUCAAUACACGUACAGAAGCAAGGAAUCCCAGAAGCAAUAAUCUUGAUCGGAGUAGAGAAAUUAUUUUGUGCAAUAAACCUAAUUGGAGUAGAGUAUAUUUCUUUUCUGCGUGCAAGGGAAGGCAAGUCAAUAGGCAGUGUUCGCAUCUGUCCGGAUGAAGCAGACGCACUCAUCAACGCAAGGGGACAUGAGUUAUCAACGCACAAUCAGCUAGCAUCUCGUGGAAAGCACAUGGGAGUAGCAGGAUAGCUAGCAGCUCACAUCAGUGCGUACACCAUGUAUUUUGAAUGCAGAGUUCAGCUUGAUUGAGAACUACGUGUGCAGCUCGACCACGACAUGGAUGCAGAGUUCAGCUUGAUUGAGAACUACGUGUGCAGCUUGCCGUAGACUCCAUACGUGACUGAUCGCUUUUCUCUCUGGCUCUCCUAAACUUCGUGAGAGACUUUGGCUGUCACAAAAGGUCACAACAAGCUGCUCGAGAAAUCAAUCGAUGUUUCUCUUGGCUAGCUUUGCACGUGUAUAUCUUGCUCCAUGGAAAUAAAUCUAGAUCUUAAGAAACAACAUGUAGACUGGAAGUACGCGAGGAAACACUGGCGAUUGGAACGGGAGGCGGCACGGGCGACAGGGUGGACGAACUAAUAUGGAAAUUUUCUGACAGGUUCGACUAAACACUCCACGGUAAGCUCCUGUUGGUUCGCCUACACUAACCCUUUAAUUACGCCAUCGCUCCUCCACGACAGAGUAGUUUUCUUGCAUUAGAUGGAAAGCAUUGUCUCGGGAUAGUUUACUAUUUGCAAGAAUCGUUGUAGAAGAAGUGAAUUUAAUUUCGUCUACACAUGACCAAUUGCUUUGUGUAGAUUUGAUCAUAUAAAGGGAUAAAUCAGGCCAUAAUAAAGAGCAUACAGUUAAGUGGACAUUAUAGGUGACGUUUUUAGGCUUUUAGCUACCAGUUAAGGUGAUGAUGUGAUUGAAGGUUGUUUAGUUACGACAGGAUUACGUUGAUUCUACUGUAGUUACCUUGACACAAUUAGGCUUACGGUAAUUCCUACUUCAUAACAUGAUAUUCGCUGCUUUAGUGGCACUUCAGAAUAAUGUAAGAUUUUCCUAUGUUUCCAGUGAAGGAAACAAUCCAAGUGGUAGAGCUCAUAUAAUUGUCUUCAUUAUUGGUACUUUCGUCAAUUUAGAUAACGAAAUCAUAUCAGAUAUAAGAAUGUCUUGACUUUCCUAUUCCCUUUACUGCCUAUGCAAACUACGCUUUUGACAAAUUCCCACAAUUGUUUGUAAUGUUACUCACGUCAUGUAGAGACUUGUCAUAAUCCUGUAACGUUGCUUCAUCCAAAUGUACAGAUAUUAUCAAUUACAGUGCAUAAUGAUGAUGAAUUCCUUUAGCUAUGCUUCAAAAAAUAGCAGAAACUUGUAAGAAGGUUUGCAAGAGCUAUAUGAAUUCAAAAUGUCCAUCUUGAUUUUAAGGGGAUAUUAACGUGUUUGUAGUUACACUUUAUAGAAUUCUUAUAGCUCUCUGUUUAGAAUUUAACAUGUUUUUAGCAUUGUUACCGUACAUACAAUUUAUAGAUUCUUACAAUGUGUUUGUAGUUACCAGUUGAUCUUUGUUCAUAAGUUUAUCUAGGGUCAAAAUAAGCAUUAGUAUUAUUCCACAAAUGUUUGCAUAAUUCUGCCUACACUGAAUAUACGUGUGCAUGCUUCUAAUUAGACUACCUCUCAUGGUAUUUGCAUCAUGGACUCAGGUCCUUACUUAAGUAAAUAUAAUACAUGGAUCCUUCUGCUGUGAACUAGAAUAACACACUUAUUUCUAGGUUUAAAUAUAGAUUUAAACAUAGUUUUUCUUAGUUUACAUAAUUUACAGUACGGACAACAUAGUUUCAUAGCAUUAUGUGCCACUACACGUGAGGCCGUAGCAAAUUUUUUAUUAUACAACUGUUUUUUUUCGAUUUGGAAGAGAGGAUGCUGAAAUAUAAUGGGAGAAAUCAAUACAGCUGACCCAGUGUCGAACCAUAGUAUGUUCGUCUAUUUCUCACCUUAAUCACUUAAAAUCAGAUAAUUGUAUAAGUAGAGAUGAGAGAUACAUAGAUAUUCGUGCAAACAUACACAUACCUCAAAUUAUUGAAUACUAUACAAGUAAUUGUUUUAGCAGAAAUAGUUCUGGAUAUUAAUGUGAUCUUCUACUAUUACAUAUUUUCUUUUUCUCACUAUAUUUUGUAUGAAAUAGCUUCCAUAUAUAUGUCCUCCAUAGAACACCAUCAAGAUGACUUAUACAAACCCAUAUUAAGUCAACCAGCAUAAUAAGAAAAAAAUUAAUAUUUAUAUAGGACAAUAAUUUUAAUUCUGAUUAUUUCAGAACAAAAGAUGGACUUUCCCCUACAAGCACAUGAACAGAAGGAAUUCAUCACUGAUGAUAUUACUAAGGACAAAACAAAGGAAAUGGAUUUUAAAACUAUUUAGAAGAAUACAAUGCUGGAGGUCGUCUUUUGUCGACACAAAAAGAUCGAUUCAAUAUAGUGACAAUUAGACCAUCAAAGAAUGUGACAGAGUACAAAGAAUGCAGCAUAGCUUUCCCAUCUUUGGUCCCUUCCUCCUAGCGGCCAAUAGAGCGCAACACCAAGUUGGAUAAAUUUAUCUAAAGGCCAACUAACAUUAGACAUCAGCAAAACAGCGCCUAUUGUUGUCCGUCAUUUUUCUACAUGCUGCUCAUGUUUUAGCUAGCUUGAGUUAUGUUUUAGUUCUAAUAUUUCACAAUUAAUCAAGUGGACUUUCACUUUCAAAUUUCAGUAAUCCCUUUCAAGUUUCACCUAAAAAACAAAACUAACAUUUCUAUAAGGAUUCUCAAUAUAUUAAUUUGUUCACUAUAAAUCAUUUAUCCAUUUCUAGAGUUUCCCGUGACUAUAAUGAAAAUGCAAACAAAAAGUUAAUGACAAGUUGAUGGAAUCAAUUUUCAAGUGUGUCAAGUCCAUUAUGAGUUAAUUUAUUUUCACCAAAAUUUUCUGCUAAGAAUUGAUGCCCACUCAUAUAGCUAACAUUUCAAAAUAUAGAUCACAUCAUUUUACUAAGAGUUUUGGAGUACGAAAAAUCAGAUGGACAAAAUAAGUUAAAACAUAAUUAAGACAAGUUGCACCACUUCAUGUUCAUUUAAAAUAACACAUCACACAAAUAUAAGAAAAAAUUAUGUUCCCUUCCAACUAAUCUAGCCACUGACCUAACCCACCAAAUGAACCAGACCGGGUCAGCGCAAAAAGGACCGGCCGGUUCAACUCAAACCGGGAGCAGCCAGACCAAAAGGACGACCAUUGGCCAUAGUGGCACGACAGUAGCACGCAGGAGCUCACCCGAGCACGCAGGAGCAUACGAGGUGAGGCUAUGCGGGGUGUGGGGCUAGCUGGUCUACAAUAAACUCCAAUUGUUAUGGGGAUCCCAAUGCAAUAUUCUCUUCUAAUUAUACAUAUCCAUAUCUUAUAAUUUUAUCAGGGAAUAUCUUAUAGCUUUACAUCGUGUUUGUUCAAUCUAUUUGUAUGUACCCAAAUGACAGAAUAAUUAUCUACUCUCUGCCAAAGUGUUUAAUUUUUUAGGUCCAUUGAUGGUGGAUAAUAUCCUUGGAGAACUUGACACACACCUCCACCUACAAAGGCUACACCAAGACUUAGUGAUUCGGUAAAUUGAUGCGUACAUAUAUUUUAUGUGUUUGUUCCAUCCAACUACCUAUCUUUUAUCACUUGAUCAAGACAAUUCAAGCACUGACAGAUAAGUGUUCUCAAGCAUCGUGAUGACAAGAUAUAAAUUGAAAAAAAUUGAUGAGUACAUAUUUUUUAUUUGUUUGUUCCAUCCAACUACCAUCUUUCAUCACUUGAUCAAGCCAAAUCGACCACUAACAGGUAAGUGUUAUCAACCAUCCCCUUGACAAGAUAUAAAUUGAAAACACAUUUGGAAAUAUAAAUAUGUUAAAACAUUUAUGGCAAUAUUAAUGGCGUGCUUGAACAGGUUGAUAUGUAUGCAUUUGUUGAAUGCUCUUUAACCAUUUAGGUAUGUUUGUGGGGAUAUCAAAAUUAGUUAUUAAACUUUAUAAAAUUCUAGCCCGCGCAUCGAGCGGGCCACUUUGCUAGUUACUUUUAAUUGGGAUUGAGUUGGAGGAACCUUCUCAGUGAUGUUUCAACUACCAUGAUAGUUAAAAUAAAACUUAUUCCUUUGUUGUAGGGAAAAAUUGGUUUUUCGCAAAACUAUAACCAUAGAGCUUUCCACUAGCCAAAUAUGCAUGUAGUGAUAGCAUUAUUCUGUUCUUGCUCUAUUGUGUUAUAUUGCCAGCAUAUUCCAUGUGCUGACCCAUUUCCGGGCUGCAACGUAUUAUGUUGCAGACUUUUCAGAUAAGGAGUAAGGUUCAUUAGGUCGUUGCCGUGCAGCUCAGCUAUGUCGUUGGAGUUGAUGGACUCACUUUAUCUUCCAAGCCUUCCGCUGUUAUCGUAUUAGAUGGACUUAAGCCAUAUUUGUUGUAAUAAGUUCUCUUCUGAGACAUUCUAUGUAAUAAGUGUGUGAUUGCUACUCUGUUAUAAAUCCUUUGAGUAAUGUGUGUGUCAGCAUUACCGGUCCAGGGAUGACACUGAAGCACAGAGACUUGACAGUUUGAGGUCGGGUCAUUGCACUAGCAUAAUUUUCACGCAAUACAUGAGCGUGAGCCAUGGACAUAGCACUAUAGGUGGAAUAGAAUGGUGGUUGUGGAGAGGACAAAAAGGAGAAGAUAGUCUCACAUCAACUAGGCGUAUCAAUGGGCUAUGGAGAUGCCCAUCAAUAGAUAUCAAUGUGAUUGAGUAGGGAUUGCCAUGCAACGGAUGCACUAGAGCUAUAAAUGUAUGAAAGCUCGACAAAAGAAACUAAGUGGGUGUGCAUCCAACUUGCUUGCUCACGAAGACCUAGGGCAAUUUGAGGAAGCCCAUCAUUGAAAUAUACAAGCCAAGUUCUAUAAUGUAAAAUUCCCACUAGUAUAUGAAAGUGACGAAAUAGGAGACUCUCUAUCAUGAAGAUCAUGGUGCUACUUUGAAGCACAAGUGUGGAAAAAGGAUAGUAGCAUUGUCCCUUCUCUCUUUUUCUCCCAUUUUUUAUUUUUUUAUUUGGGCCUUUCUCUUUUUCUUAUGGCCUCUUUUUUUCGUCCGGAGUCUCAUCCCGACUUGUGGGGGAAUCAUAGUCUCCAUCAUCCUUUCCUCACAUGGGACAAUGCUCUAAUGAUGCUCAUCACACUUUUAUUUAUUUACAACUCAAGGAUUACAACUCGAUACUUAAAACAAAGUAUGACUCUAUGUGAAUGCCUCUGGUGGUGUAUCGGGAUAUGCAAUGAAUCAAGAGUGACAAGUAUGAAAAAUUUAUGAACGGUGGCUUUGCCACAAAUAUGAUGUCAACUACAUGAUCAUGCAAAGCAAUAUGACAAUGAUGGAGCGUGUCAUAAUAAACGGAACGGUGAAAAUUUGCAUGGAAAUAUAUCUUGGAAUGGCUAUGGGAAUGCCAUAAUAGGUAUGUAUGGUGGCUGUUUUGAGGAAGGUAUAUGGUGGGUGUAUGAUACCGGCAAAAGUUGCGCGGUACAAGAGAGGCUAGCAAUCGUGGAAGGGUGAUAGUGCGUAUAACCCAUGGACUCAACAUUAGUCAUAAAGAACUCACAUACUUACUGCAAAAAUCUACAAGUUAUCAAAAUGAAGUACUACACGCAUGCUCCUAGGGGAAGGGUUGGUAGGAGCUAACCAUCGCGCGAUCCCGACCUCCACACAAAGGAUGACAACCAAUAAAUAAAUCAUGCUCCGACUUCAUCACAUAAUGGUUGACCAUACGUGCAUGCUACGGGAAUCGCAAACUUUAACACAAGUAUCUCUCAAAUUCACAAUUAUUCCACUAGCAUGACUCUAAUAUCACCAUCUUCAUAUCUCAAUACAAUCAUAAAGAAUCAAACUUCUCAUAGUAUUCAAUUGACUUUAUAUGAUAGUUUUUAUUAUACCCCUCUUGGAUGCCCAUCAUAUUAGGACUAAUUUUAUAGCCAAAGCAAAUUACCAUGCUGUUCUAAAAGACUCUCAAAAUAAUAUAAGUGAAGCAUGAGAGACCAAUAAUUUCUAUAAAAUAAAACCACCACCGUGCUCUUAAAGAUAUAAGUGAAGCACUAGCGCAAAAUUAUCUAGCUCAAAAGAUAUAACUGGAGCACAUAGAGUAUUCUAAUAAAUUUCGAUUCAAGCGUGUCUAUCCCAAAAGGUGUGUACAACAAGGAUGAUUGUGGUAAACUUAAAAGGAAAAACUCAAAUCAUACAAGACACUCCAAGCAAAACACAUAUCAUGUGGUGAAUAAAAAUAUAGUCUCAAGUAAAGUUACCGAUAGACAAAGACGAAAGAGGGGAUGCCCCGGAAGGCAUCCCCAAGCAUAGGCUUUUGGUUGUCCUUGAAUUUUACCUUGGGGUGCAUUGGGCAUCCCCAAGCUUAGUCUAUUUCCACUCCUUAUUCCAAAAUCCAUCAAAUCUUUACCCAAAAACUUGAAAACUUCACAACACAAAACUUCAACAAAAAAAAUCUCAUGAGCUCCGUUAGUAUAAGAAAAUAAACCACCACUUUAAGGUACUGUAAUGAAAUCAUUAUUUAUUUAUAUUGGUGUUAAAUCUACUGUAUUCCAACUUAUCUAUGGUUCAUACCCCCCGAUACUACCCAUAGAGAGUCAUCAAAAUAAGCAAACAACACACGAAAAACAGAAUUUGCCAAAAACAGAACAGUCUGUAGCAAUCUAUAACUUUCGAAUACUUCUGUAACUCUAAAAAUUCUGAAAAAAUUGGUGGACGUGGGAAAUUUGUCUAUUAGUCAUCUUCAAAAAGAAUAAACCUAAAAGAACUCUCCAGUAAAAAAUGACAGCUAAUCUCGUGAGUGCAAAAGUUUCUAUUUUUUAAAGCAAGAUCGCAAAGACUUCACCCAAGUCUUCCCAAAGGUUCUACUUGGCACAAACACUAAUUAAAAUAUAAAACCACAUCUAAACAGAAGAUAUAAGAAUUAUUUAUUACUAAACAAGAAUAAAAAGCGAAGAACAAAAAUAAAAUUGGGUUGCCUCCCAACAAGCGCUAUCAUUUAACGCCCCUAGCUAGGCAUAAAAACAAGGAUAGCUCUAGGUAUUGCCAUCUUCGGUAUGCAAUCCAUAAGUGGCUCUCAUAAUUGAUUCAUAAGGUAAUUUAAUUUUCUUCCUAGGAAAAUGUUCCAUGCCUUUCCUUAACGAAAAUUGGAAUCUAAUAUUUCCUUCUUUCAUUUCAAUAAUUGCACCAAUCGUUCUAAGAAAAGGUCUACCAAGAAUAAUAGGACAUGUAGGAUUGCAAUCUAUAUCAAGAACGAUGAAAUAUACGGGAACAUAAUUCCUAUUUGUAACAAUAAGAACAUCAUUAAUCCUUCCCAUAGGUUUCUUAACAGUGGAAUCCGCAAGUUGCAAAUUUAAAGAGCAAUCAUCAAAUUCACGGAAACCUAGCACAUCACAUAAAGUUUUUGGAAUCGUGGAAACACUAGCACCCAAAUCACACAAAGCAUAGCAUUCAUAAUAUUUAAUCUUAAUUUUAAUAGUAGGUUCCCACUCAUCAUAAAGUUUUCUAGGGAUAGAAACUUCUAGUUCAAGCUUUUCUUCAUAAGAUUGCAUUAAAGCAUCAACGAUAUGUUUAGUGAAAGCUUUAUUUUGAUUAUAAGCAUGAGGAGAAUUCAACAUGGACUGCAACAAGGAAAUACAAUCUAUCAAAGAGCAAUUAUCAUAAUUAAAUUCCUUGAAAUCCAAAAUAGUGGCUUCAUUGCUAUGUGAAGUUUUGACCUCUUCAAUCCUACUUUUAUUAAUUUUAGCAUCAAGAUCUAAAAACUCAGAAUCAUUGGGACGCCUUUUAACUAAAGUUGACUCAUCUCCAGUCCCAUCUUUAUCAAGAUUCAUAUUGGAAAACAAAGAUUUAAUAGGAGUCACAUCAAUCACUUUUAGAUCUUCAUCUUUAUUAUCAUAAAAACUAGAAGAACACGCUUUCACAAAGCAAUCAUUUUUAGCACGCAUCCUAGUGGUUCUUUAUUUGCACUCAUCAAUGGAAAUUAUCAUAGCUUUGAGAGACUCAUUGAUAUCAUGAUUAGGUGGAAUAGAUCUAAGUUUCAAAGAAUCAAUAUCAAGAGAAAUUCUAUCCACAUUCCUAGCCAACUCGUCCAUCUUAAGCAAUUUUUCUUCAAGCAAGGAAUUGAAAUUCUUUAACACUUGUUUCAAAAUCAGAGGGCAUCUUAUUAAAAUUUCCAUAAGAGUUGUUGUAGGAAUUACCAUAAUUAUUAGAGGAAUUACUAGGGAGCGGCCUAGAAUUAAAGUUUCCUCUAUACGCGUUGUUGCCAAAAUUGUUCCUACCAACAAAAUUCACAUCCAUAGAUUCAUUGUUAUUCUCAAUCACAGUGGACAAGAGCAUAGAUUCAUUGUUGCCAAACACUUUCAUUAGCAAACAAUUUCUUUAUUUCAUCCAUCUUUCCACUCAAAACAUUAAUCUCUUCAAUAGCAUGAACCUUUUUACUAGUGGAUUUUUCGGUGUGCCAUUGAGAAUAAUUAACCAUAAUAUUCUCUAGGAGUUUAGAAGCUUCUCCUAAAGUGAUUUCCAUAAAAGUGCCUCCCGCGGCUGAAUCUAAAAGAUUUCUAGAAGAAAAAUUCAAUCCGGCAUAAUUUUUUUGUAUAAUCAUCCACAAAUUCAAACCAUGUGUAGGGCAAUUACGAAUCAUUAAUUCCAUCCUCUGCCAAACUUGUGCAACAUGCUCAUGAUCAAGUUGCUUAAAAUACGUAAUAUCGUUCCUAAGAGAGAUGAUCUUAGCGGGAGGAAAAUAGUUAAAGAUAAACUCAUCUUUGCACUUAUUUCAAGAAUCAAUACUAUUUUUAGGCAAAGAAGAGAACCAAGUUUUAGCACAAUCUCUAAGUGAAAACGGAAAUAGCUUCAAUUUAACAAUAUCAUUAUCCACAUCUUUCUUCUUUUGCAUAUCGCACAAAUCAACAAAGUUGUUUAGAUGGAUAGCGGCAUCUUCACUAGGAAGGCCAGAAAAUUGAUCUUUCAUAACAAGAUUCAACAAAGCAGCAUUAAUUUCACAAGAUUCAGCAUCGGUAGUAGGAGCAAUCGGAGUGCUAAUAAAAUCAUUGUUGUUGGCAUUGGAAAAGUCACACAAUUUAGUAUUAUCUUGAGCCAUAGAGACAAACAAUCAAUCCAACACACAAGCACACAAGAAGCAAGCGAAAAGAGGCGAACGGAAGAGAGGUGAAGAAAAGGAAAAGGUUUUUGAAAAUCAUUUUAGAAGUGGGGGAGAGGAAAACGAGAGGUGAAUGGCAAAUAAUGUAACGCGAGGGAGAAGAGUUUGUGAUGGGUACUUGGCAUGUCUUGACUUGAGCGUAGAACUCCCCGAUAGCGGCGCCAGAAAUCCUUCUUGCUACCUCUUGAGCAUGCGUUGGUUUUUCCCUUGAAGAGGAAAGGGUGAUGCAGCAAAGUAGCGUAAGUAUUUCCCUCAGUUUUUGAGAACCAAGGUAUCAAUCCAGUAGGAGACAACAUGCAAGUCACCUAGUACCCGCACAAACAACCAAGAAGCUUGCAACCAACACAAUAAAGGGGUUGUCAAUCCCUUCACGGUCACUCGCAAAAGUGAGAUCUGAUAGAGAUAGCAAAGUAAAUAUUUUUGGUAUUUUUGUUGUAUAUAUUUGCAAAAUAGUAAACGAGAUGCGAUGUAAAUAGAAGUGAUUCAAGAUAAUAGGAAAGAGACCUGGGGGCCAUAGAUUUCACUAGUGGCUUCUCUCAAGAUAGCAUAUAUUACUGUGGGUGAACAAAUUACUGCCGAGCAAUUGAUAGAAAAGCGCAUCAUUAUGAGAAUAUCUAGGCAAUGAUUAUGAAUAUAGGCAUCACGUCCAUGUCAAGUAGACCAAAACAAUUCUGCAUCUACUACUAUUACUCCACACAUCGACCGCUAUCCAGCAUGCAUCUAGAGUAUUAAGUUCAUAAGAACAGAGUAACGCAUUAAGCAAGAUGACAUGAUGUAGAGGGAUAAACUCAAGCAAUAUGAUAUAAACCCCAUCUUUUUAUCCUCGAUGGCAACAAUACAAUACGUGCCUUGCUGCCCCUACUGUCACUGGGAAAGGACACCGCAAGAUUGAACCCAAAGCUAAGCACUUCUCCCAUUGCAAGAAAGAUCAAUCUAGUAGGCCAAACUAAACCGAUAAUUCGAAGAGACUUGAAAAGGUAUCUAAUCAUGCAUAUAAGAAUUCAGAGAAGAACCAAAUAUUAUUCAUAGAUAAACUUGAUCAUAAAUCCACAAUUCAUCGGAUCUCGGUAAACACACUGCAAAAGAAUAUUACAUCGAAUAGAUCUCCAAGAAAAUCAAGGAGAACUUUGUAUUGAGAACCAAAGAGAGAGAAGAAGCCAUCUAGCUAAUAACUAUGGACCCGGAGGUCUGUGGUAAACUACUCACGCUUCAUCGGAGAGGCUAUGGUGAUGAUGUAGAAGCCCUCCAUGAUCGAUUCCCCCUCCUGCGGAGCGCCAAAAAGGCCCUAAGAUGGGAUCUCACGUGUACAGAAGGUUGCGGCGGUGGAAAAGUGGUUUCGUGGAUGCCCCUAAUGAUUCUAGGGUAUAAGGGUAUAUAUAGGCUGAAGAAGUACGUCGGUGGAGCUACGUGGGGCCCACUAGGGUGGGGGCGUGCCUACCCCCCUGGGCGCGCCCUCCUGCCUCGUGGCCGCCUCGCGGAGUUCCAGACUUCAACUCCAAGUCUUCUGGAUUGCUUCCGUUCCAACAAAGAUCAUCGCGAACGUUUAUUCCGUUUGAUAUUCCUUUUCUGCAAAACACCGAAAUAGGCAAAAAAUAGAAACUGGCACUGGGCCCUCGAUUAAUAAGUUAGUCCCAAAAAUAAUAUAAAAGAGCAUAUUAAAGCCCAUUAAACAUCCAAAACAGAUAAUAUAAUAGCAUGGAACAAUAAAAAAUUAUAGACAUGUUGGAGACGUAUCAACUAUCGCUACCGCUUAGUGAUAAAGUAAAGCAAUUACAUGGCGAUUGCAUUUCAUACAAUAAAGCGACAACCAUAAGGCUCCUCCAAGUUGCCGAGAACUUUUACAAAACAUGAUCAUCUCAUACAACAAUUUAUUUAUCAUCACGUCUUGACCAUAUCACAUCACGGCAAGCCCUGCAAAAACAAGUUAGACGUCCUCUACUUUGUUGUUGCUAGUUUUACGUGGCUGCUACGGGCUUAGCAAGAACCGUUCUUACCUACGCAUAAAAACCACAACAAUUUUUUGUCAAGUGUGUUGUUUUAACCUUCAACAAGGAUCGGGCGUAGUCAAACUCGAUUCAACUAAAGUUGGAGAAACAGACACCCACUAGCCACCUGUGUGUGAAGCACGUCGGUAGAACCAGUCUCAUGAACGCGGUCAUGUAAUGUCGGUCUCGGCCGCUUCAUCCCACAAUACCGCUGAAUCAAAGUAUGACAUGCUGGUAAGCAGUAAGACUAUUAUCGCCCACAACUCUUUGUGUUCUACUCGUGCAUAUAACAUCUACGCAUAGACCUGGCUCAGAUGCCACUUUUGGGAAAUGCAGUAAUUUCAAAAAAUAUCCUACGAUCAUGCAUGAUCUAUCUAGGAGAAGCAUAGCAAGGAGAGGGGAGAAUGUGUCCACGUACCCUCGUAGACCGAAAGCGGAAGCGUUUAGUAACGCGGUUGAUGUAGUCGAACUUCUCGCGAUCCAACCGAUUCAAGUACCGAAAAUACGACACCUCCGCGUUCAGCACACGUUCAGCUCGAUGACGUCCCUCGUACUCUUGAUCCAGUUGAGGCCGAGGGAGAGUUUCGUCAGCACGACGGCGUGGCGACGGUGAUGAUGAAGUUACCGGUGCAGGGCUUUGCCUAAGCACUACGACGAUAUGACCGAGGUGUGUAACUGUGGAGGGGGGCACCGCACACGGCUAAAAGAUCAACUUGUGUGUUCUAGGGUGCCCCCUUGCCCCAUAUACAAAGGAGGGAGAGGGAGAGGAAGCCGGCCCUAGGGGGUGCGCCAAGGUGUGGAGUUCUACUAGGACUCCCUAGUCCUAGUAGGAUUCCACCUCGCACACGGAAUAGGAAAGGGGGAAGGGAGAAGGAGAAGGAAGGGGGACUGGCCCCCUUCUCCUAGUCCUAAUCGGCCUCCUGCCCAAGGGGGGCGCACCAGCCCCUUGUGGGCUGGUGUGCUUCCCUCUUAUGGCCCAAAUGGCCCAUAACUUCUGCCGGGGGGUUCCUGUAUCCUCCCGGUACUCCGAAAAAUACCCGAACUUCUCCGGAACCAUUCUGAUGUCUAAAUAUAGCCUUCCAAUAUAUCAAUCUUUAUGUCUCGACCAUUUCGAGACUCCUCGUCAUGUCCAUGAUCUCAUCCAGGACUCUAAACAAACUUCGUUUCAUCAAAUCACAUAACUCAUAAUACAAAUCGUCAUCGAACGUUAAGUGUGCGGACCCUACGGGUUCGAGAACUAUGUAGACAUGACCGAGACACAUCUCCAGUCAAUAACCAAUAGCAGAACCUGGAUGCUCAUAUUGGCUCCUACAUAUUCUACGAAGAUAUUUAUCGGUCAAGCCGCAUAACAACAUACGUUGUUCCCUUUGUCAUCGGUAUGUUACUUGCCCGAGAUUAUCGUUGGUAUCAUCAUACCUAGUUCAAUCUCGUUACCAUCAAGUCUCAUUACUCGUUCUGUAAUACUUUAUCCUGCAACUAACUCAUUAGUCACAUUGCUUGCAAGGCUUAUUGUGAUGAGCAUUACCGAGAGGGCCCAGAGAUACCUCUCUGAAACACGGAGUGACAAAUCCUAAUCUUGAUCUAUGCCAACCCAACAAAUACCUUCGGAGACACCUAUAGAGCAUCUUUAUAAUCACCCAUUUACGUUGUGACAUUUGAUAGCACACAAAGUGUUCCUCCGGUAUUCGGGAGUUGCAUAAUCUCAUAGUCUGAGGAACAUGUAUAAGUCAUGAAGAAAGCAGUAGCAACGAAACUGUAAAGAUCAUAAUGCGAAGCUAACGAAUGGGUCUUGUCCAUCACAUCAUUCUCCUAAUGAUGUGAUCCCGUUCAUCAAAUGACAACACAUGUCUAUGGUUAGGAAACAUAGCCAUCUUUGAUAAACGAGCUAGUCAAGUAGAGGCAUACUAGAGACACUCUUUGUUUUAUCUAUGUAUUCACACAUGUACUACAUUUCCGGUUAAUACAAUUCUAGCAUGAAUAAUAAACAUUUAUCAUGAAAUAAGAAAAUAAAUAAUAACUUUAUUAUUGCCUCUAGGGCAUAUUUCCUUCAGUCUCCCACUUGCACUAGAGUCAAUAAUCUAGUUCACAUCGUCAUGUGAUUUAACACCAAUAGUUCACAUCUUUAUGUUUUUAACACCCAUAGUUCACAUCGCCAUGUGUGAUGUCUGGAUAAUUAUGCUACAGUAACCCUCUCUUAAUGAUGCUACAUCACCACAAUUACUGAUGUUAAUCUCACGGUGAUUCAAAUUCCGCUCGAAUUUAAAUUCAAAAUCGAGUCAAACUGUAAAGUUUUCAGAUGAUAAAACAAAAAUGUUUUGGAUGUGACAAAUAAUUCAUAAGUAAUAUUAGUGGAGAAACCAACCUCUUUGAAAAUGUUUGAUUGUCCUAAAGUAAACAAAACAGUAGGAAAACAAUUAAUUAAAUGUUUUUCCAAUUAAUAAAAUGUUAAACUAUUUUAUCUAGUUGCCCAAGUUUUUGUGGCAUUAGAAUUUGUAGUAACACUAUUUUAGAAACUAAUUUUAUAUUUUAUAAAACUAUAGUAAAUAGAAAAUAAAGUAAAUGGUAAAAUGAAAAUAAAUAAAAAGAGCAGGCAAAACAGGAAAGUAAAAUAAAACAAAAGGUAAACCCCUAGCCCAACUGGGCUUUAACCCAGCCGGCCCACCCGCGCCCCUGGCCUAUAUGGCCUGCGGUGCCCAACCCUAGCUCGACCGACACCUCCACAACCCCCACUCACCCGCACAUCCCCUCCCCUCGAUCUCCCACGAUCCCCUCUCUUCCUCGGUCACUCCUCCCCCCUCUCCCGAUCCCAUCUGGAUCGGGCCAACCGCCCCGCACUCGCCUGCCACCGCAUCGGCGCCACCUCGCCACGACUUCGCCCCGCCGUACCCAGCCGCGGUCGUCGCUGCUCCCGGUGAGCCGCCCCGCGGCGCCACCACCAACGGGCCCCCCUUGCUGGCCCGNNNNNNNNNNNNNNNNNNNNNNNNNNNNNNNNNNNNNNNNNNNNNNNNNNNNNNNNNNNNNNNNNNNNNNNNNNNNNNNNNNNNNNNNNNNNNNNNNNNNNNNNNNNNNNNNNNNNNNNNNNNNNNNNNNNNNNNNNNNNNNNNNNNNNNNNNNNNNNNNNNNNNNNNNNNNNNNNNNNNNNNNNNNNNNNNNNNNNNNNNNNNNNNNNNNNNNNNNNNNNNNNNNNNNNNNNNNNNNNNNNNNNNNNNNNNNNNNNNNNNNNNNNNNNNNNNNNNNNNNNNNNNNNNNNNNNNNNNNNNNNNNNNNNNNNNNNNNNNNNNNNNNNNNNNNNNNNNNNNNNNNNNNNNNNNNNNNNNNNNNNNNNNNNNNNNNNNNNNNNNNNNNNNNNNNNNNNNNNNNNNNNNNNNNNNNNNNNNNNNNNNNNNNNNNNNNNNNNNNNNNNNNNNNNNNNNNNNNNNNNNNNNNNNNNNNNNNNNNNNNNNNNNNNNNNNNNNNNNNNNNNNNNNNNNNNNNNNNNNNNNNNNNNNNNNNNNNNNNNNNNNNAUGCGCGUUGUGGCCUCGCACGCAGCCCCACGCCCCCGCCACGUCCUUGGUCGCCUGCAGCCGCGCCCGUCACUGCCUACCUCGCCCAGGUCGGGCGCUGAUCGCGCCCGGUGCCCGCCUAACCACGCCGGCCUGAGCUCCCGUGUCUGCAGCGCCGUCGCCGCUGUCGUUUGCCCCGCAUGCCCCAGCCCUCUGCCCUGCUCCUGCUCCUUGUCGCUCUUCCCCAACCGCGCCCGUGCCUCCUCUGGUCGGCGCCGUGACCGCCGGCGCACCUCUGUGUGCGCUCGUGCGUGUGCACGUCGGUCGCUGGUGGUUGGCUAAAGCCACUGUCAUGUGCCCCCCUCACUAAUUAGCCUGCUUAGGUUAACUAAAAAUUAUUUAAGUUAAUCAAAACCCAUUGAGUCACUGACAACAUGGCCCCACUUAGUAGUUAUUCUAAAUAGAUUAAAUAAACACCGUUUAUAUUAACUCUAAUAAACACCGACUCAAUGACAGCUGGGCCCCAUCUAAACACUAUUCACCUUUUGACUAGUCAAAUGUUGACUGGGUCAACUCUGCUGACUGGACCACUCCUGGACCCCACUAGUCAUACACUCAGGCUAGUAUAGAGCUACUCCCUCCGUCCGCCAAAGAGUGAACGUCUGGCUCGAGUAAUUUUCCCAAAAUAAGUGAACGUCUGGCUCCGCAGCGAUCCACCGAGGUAAUUUUACGUUCACCCCCUCGGUCUACGCCUCGAGGCACCCGCAGCGGUCCACCACCCAAUCCACUCGUUCUCACCCCUGACGACCCAAUCCACUCGUCCUCUCCCCCAAAAUUUCCCCAAUCUUCCUCCUCUCCCCCAACGUUUCUUCUCCCGGAUCCAAUCCCAGUUCGCUGGGAGUCAAUCCUCCAAUCCAAGCCAGUCAUUGGUCAUCGAGAGAGUAAUGGCGGCCAGUCCAUAUAAACUCCCAGUACGGUGUGCAUCUCACUGGAGCCAUGGCGGGCGGCGGAGCGGGCGGAGGAGCGGAAGCCGGCGAUGGCCAGCGAGUCGAGGCCGUCGCGGCGGCCGGCGGCGCAACACGCGGCCGCGAAAGAUCUGGUUCUGGAGGCCCUCACCGUGCUCGUGCAGUCAAGUUUCGACCGCGUUCGCCCUCGUACAUCCGUCGGCGGCGGCAAUUCGGUUGCGGCGCCAAGAUCCUUGACCUGGACGAGGACAUAGGGGCUGAUGGUGAAGCGGGUGUUGGCCGUGGAGGCGCUGUACCCGGCACUGCAGCGGGUCAUGCGGCUAACCAGGUCGGCGCGGCAGCUGGUGCUGGGCAAGACAUCGCGUCUGUAGGUGUUGGGCAAGACGGCACGGCAGCAUCAGUGCAUCCUGGGGCUGACCAUGACGCAGCAGCCGCAGGUGCUGGGGGCGUUGAGGAGAAGCUACACAAGCACUAGUAGAUCCGUAAGUUGGCUGGAUGCAGUCUUCAAUUUGCUUGGCUUUUAGUUUGGCUGGAUGUAGUAAGUAUGGCUGCAUAUUUUUAUGUUCUGCAAGUAUGAAAAUCGAUUCAUACUAUUGGAGUAUGGCAGAUAUUAUUACUAUGGAUGAUCUAAAUUUAUGGUGAUUAGUGUCGUGGUCUCUAAAAAUAAUUUUCGGUUAUGGAUGAUCCAUUGUUAUGGUGAUUAGUGUCCUGGUCUCUAAAGAUAAUUUUCAGUUAUGUAUGAUCUCUUGUUACAACAGUGAUUUUAGGUUGGAUAAAUGGUGCUAUGUUGAUGAAUAAACAAUCAAGUCCUGGUCUCUAAAAUCAUGCUAUCAUACAGAGAUUGUAGUGUUAUUGUAACAACAUUUAUGAUGAUCUCUUGUACCAGAUGAUUUGAUCAACUGAUUUCAUAUGAAAAUUACUCUGGCCAUGGAUACUAGAUGACGGAAAAUCUCGGGAACCAUACUGAGGUCAACUACAAUCCUUUUGCGCCCACAGUUUUUCGGCUUCCUUGAUCUUACAUCAACGGGUACGCCUUGUCGAUGGCACUCCUUCACUCUCCUCCAAACACGUCUGACCUUCUGCACCGAAACAUGGAACAUGUUUGCAACUUCUCUGGUUGUGGUCUUCUUUAAUUUCCGAUUGACACUUCUUGCUAGCAACUCUUCAUAAAUACCAGUCCUUUGCAAAUCUGUUAAAUUCUUGUAUUUGUCUUCAUGAUGAACUUGCUCAUUAUCUUGUUGCUCUUGCUCCACAUACAUGUCUUCUUCUGGUGCUGAAUCAUACAUGGCUUCAUCUGCUGAAUCAUCAAGCUCUUCUUCCUCAAACUGAAUCUCUAUAUCGCCUGCAUACACACCAUAGUCUUCCUCGUCAACUUGAAGGUUAUUUAGAGCUUCAUCCAUUGCUUGCACUUCCUCUUCCAUGCUCUGGAAAACACCGCCUUGUUCUUCAAGUUCAUGGUCUACAAGGUGAGGUUAUGUGAGUAGUUGUAAUAUUAUAAUUAAACAUUCAUAUAUGCUAUAACUAAAUUAUUUUACUAACCCGAUUCAUCUGAUUCAUGCAGGUUCUCUUCUCCAUGGGCAACAUUGGCCUCAUGUUCCUCUUCUCCAUGGGCAAUGUCGGGCUCAUGUUCAUCUUCUACAUGAAGACCGACAUGGGGUUCUUCAUGCAAGGCAGCCUCAAGUUCGUCCUCUAUGGCGAAGAAGAAUAAUCAGCAGGUGCACAUGAACAAAGAGAACAAAGGAGUAGACGAUCAAGAUGUACCUGGGCUCAUGUUCAGAUCGAUUUGACGACCAACCUGGAGCAGUUCUUCAUGCAAGGCAACCUCAAGUUCGUCCUCUAUGGCAAAGAAGAAUCAUCAGCAUGUGCACAUGAACAAGGAGAACAAAUGAAAAGAUGAUCAAGAUGUACCUGGGUUCAGGUUCAAAUCGAUUUGAUGACCAACCUGGAGCAAUUCUUCAUGCAAGGGAGGCACAUGUUCAACUUCUCCCUCUCCUGGUGCUAUGUUCAAGUCAAUGGCCAUGGCCUCUCUAUGUGUUGUUCUACUUGGCGCUAGUUUGCUGCUUGUUCUACUUGGUGCUACUGUGCUAGCUUUAUAGCUGGUUGUUCUACUUGAAAUCUGGCUCAUAGCUCAAUUCUGUAAUUUGCCGCUUCUAAUUCUGUAAUCUGGCGCCAUAUUGUACUAGUACUCAGCUACUAGUUGUGGAUGGUGGGAAGUGUUGUGGCGGGAACAAUUCUCUGUUGGCAAAGCUGUAUUUACUUCUCCCUUCUCAUUUAUUAUCAACGGGAAUCGAAGCAUUGGUACAGCUGUUGGCAC
rnacentral:lncRNA from 1 species